UGGGUGAAAUAAACUUAGAAAGCAAAAGAUCCCAAACUAGUUAAUAUAGAGAGUUCAUAUCAUAAAAUGUCGAACCAUAGAUGAGGCUGGAAUUUCUAAAACAACAUAGUCAUAAGGUAGGCACGGCACAGCCUCCAAGCCAUGAACAAAAUAUACGUAACUAGAUCGCUACACAACUAAUAAAAGGAUAAAUCAACAUCAACUGUUAUUCCUAUAGUAAAAUAGUCCUACCAUACACGCUGAUGAUGAUCUCCUAAUUGUAGGUUGAUGGGAACCUUAGGAUGAUUUGUGCUUUAAUUUUCUAUUCCCAGAAGGUGCCCUGGGUGGUGUCCAUGGUGUGGUUUCUGCUCAUGGGGAGGCUUCUCUCCCUUACCUUUGGGUGGUAUUACAUAUUUGUGUGGCUCACUUAAGAGGUGUCUAUGAGGAGGUUUAGGUUCAUGAGGUGCUCCCUUUCCCUUACCCUUGGAUGGUUUGUCACCGGGGAAUGGUUUCAUGGAUGGCUUACCGUCAGGGAAUCCUUCAACAUGUGGAGGUUUACCCCCUGAGUGUCGUGGAGGUUUAUGUGUGUCCUCAACUUCCACAUUCAAUAGGUGUCUAUGAGGAGGUUUGGGUUCAUGAGGUGCUCCCUUUCCCUUACCCUUGGAUGGUUUGUCACCAGGGAAUCCUUCAACAUGCGGAGGUUUACCCCCUGAAUGUCGUGGAGGUUUACCACCUGAUUGUUGUGGAGGUUUAUGUGUGCCCUCAACUUCCACACUCAAUAGGUGUCUGUGAGGAGGUUUGGGUUCAUGAGGUGCCCCUUUUCCCUUACCCUUGGAUGGUUUGUCACCAGGGAAUCCUUCAACAUGUGGAGGUUUACCCCCUGAAUGUCGUGGAGGUUUACCACCUGAGUGCUGUGGAGGUUUAUGUGUGCCCUCAACUUCCACACUCAAUAAGUGUCUAUGAGGAGGUUUGGGUUCAUGAGGUGCUCCCUUUCCCUUACCCUUGGAUGGUUUUUCACCAGGGAAUGGCUUCAUGGGUGCUUUAUCGGUAGGGAACCCCUCAACAUGUGGAGGUUUACCCCCCGAGUGUCUUGGAGGUUUACCACCUGAAUGUCGUGGAGGUUUAUGUGUGCCCUCAACUUCCACACUCAAUAAGUUUCUAUGAGGAGGUUUUUCCCCAUGUGGUGGCUCCUGUCCUUUACCGCCAGGUCCACUGUGUAUUGGCGGUCGGUGUUCAGGGAAUGGCUUGUGUUGUGGUUGCUUCUCACCUGGGAAAGGCUUCCCCUUGGGAAGCUCAUUAUCAUGAUGUUGGUUAGCUAGAGAAGGAGUGAUGAUAAAAACCACCACUCCAACGAGAAACAAAAGCAAGCAGGCUUUAGACAUGUUUGGGAAUAUAUCUCUCGGUUUUGUUGUGCUUCACAAACUAUAACAUUUGCUGCCCUUUUAUAGUGGACGGAAAGCUAGACUAUGACGUCACCACACAUGCAAUUUUGCAUUUGUGCGGUGUUGAGUCGCUCUUUGGGUCCCAUGUGGCGUCGAAAUUUUUGACAAAUUUGCUACUGUGAAAAUCAUGACACCUUAAAGUUUAACUACUGUGAAAAACACGUUGCAAGAAUUUUGCGACAUACAUGGUUCUGCGGAUUUCAAUGUGAAAUAUUGAAUCUACAUUGCUUUUUGACAUUCUAAGGGGAUCACAUGCUAUAUAGUCAGUUUGUGAGAAGCUAAAUACCUUUAACAGGGAUGAGUCCAGAAAUAAUUUUAAGAGGUGAGAAUUAAAUUAUAAAAUUUAUGAGGAAUUAAAAGUCAUGGCAUAUAAAAAAAAACCCAAAGGGGUUAAAUUUUUUUCCACAUUUUUUAAAUUGCGAUUGGUUAAAGCUGUCGAGAGAUAUCGUUGACAAAUUGGUAUGAACAUAUGAAACUGUGGGAAAGUUCAGAGGCGAUUCUAGAGGUCGCAUGGGAACCGACCCUUAAAUGCAAAAUUACUAUUUAGAUCCUUUUAAUUUUUUAAAAUUUUAAAUUAAUAAAGAUAAAAUUAUAUAUAAAUUAUAAAAAAUUAAAAUUUUAUUCGACUUCCCUAAAAAAUUGUUCAUGGAAAAGUUGCAGAAAUUUGUCAUAAAAUAAGUACAGAUUUAAGUCACGAAACAUUAUCAAUAUAGGACAAAAUGGUAUGAACAUUUGAAACUGUGGAAAAGUUGCAGAAAUUUGUCAUAAAAUAAGUACAGAUUUGAGUCACGAAACAUUAUCAAUAUGUAAUUAUAGAUUAUGUUAAAAGAAUUCCCACUAAGUUUAUCUAUAAAAACAAAAUCCAUAGUACUGUAGAUAUGAUAAGCUUCUGAAAAUGAUAGGUGUUCCUUUUCAUCCACUCGAUGGGGUUAUGGGAAAAGGGGAAGAGUACGAAAGAAAGAAAAAUAACAGUUGGAUUUAACACGUGAAAGAUAUUAUAGUAUAUGUUUUUCGGAUAAAUCGAUUCAUUGGUUGGACCAGAUUGAAUAAUUUUUAUUAGUGUCGACCCCAAAUAUGAAUAUAUUAUUUUGAUGAAAUUAGUGGAUCCAUAACGCAAACUUUGAAUUUGGAGUAUUCAUUGUCUAGGCCCACCGGUACUGAGAACACUAUUAAAAUUUGAACUCUCUAACCCAUAACAAGUUGAUUAUGUUUAUUUAUAUAAUACCAGUUGCGGUUUAUUGGACUGCAUUCAAGGGAUUUAAUUCCAGCAAAUUAUUUCAGCUUUCAAAAGCUACUAUUAUAUAUGCGUUUUUUAUUUUAUUUUUAGGCUUAGUUUAUUUCCCUGAACAUAAUUUACGAAAAAUAUUUUUUGAAUUUUUUAUAUUUAUUUUAUAAAAAAUAACUUGGUCAACGGAAAAUAACUUAAAAGUCAAUAAAAAAUAAACUUUUUUUCCUGUAAAAUAAUUUAUCCUUCUAAAAAGCGCAAGUCAUUUUUCGAAAAAAGCUCAUUUAUGAGUAAUUUUAUUUUUUAUAAAAAUUAACUUAAAUCAAACUUAACAUUACUAUAUUAAUAAUAAAAUUUAUUUUUAUUUUUAAAAAAUAUUAUAAUAUUAAUAUAAAAUAUUAUAAUUUUCAAUAUGAUUAAACAUACAUAUUUAAUCAUAUAAUAAAUUAUUAAUAUAAAUAAUAUAAUUUAUUAUUUUAAUAAAUUAUUUAAUAUUUUAAUUUUAUUUUAAUAAUAAAUUUUGAAAAUAAUAAAUUUAAAUAAUAUUCUUCACAUAUUAUUAAAAAUAUUCAAUAUUAAAUAUUUUAAUAAUAUAUGUUUUGUACUAUAGAAGUUAAAAUAUGUCAUAAGUCCAUGUAUUCUUCACAAGUUUGAAAUUUAGUCUCUAUACUUUUGUAACACCUCUCACCCGGUCAGGUUGCCGAACCCAGUAACAGGAUGCCACAAUAACUUUUGGAACUUAUACGCAUGCAUACACGAUUUCAAUUAAGAGCAAUUGAAAAUAAUUUAUUAUAUCUUAGGAAAACUUAUUAAACCAAAUCAAAGUGAUUAACUCUGAAACCUCCAAUUCGCUGAGUCUGUGUCCUAACCACAUGGAUUACCUGUUAAGGGAUAAACUAAGAGGGAGAGCUACAAAACACAGUGUGAGUUUUAACUAAAAGUAAACGACGCAACAACAAACAGUCGAUCAAACUUACAAUUACCAUAAUCAAACCAUAAACAGAGAUCAUAUCAGAUUAGCGUAUCAUAUUAUUAUAUCACUAAACAGAUAUGCAAAAUCGUAUUCAUAUGUAAUAUGGUGCAAAAUCCCUCCUAUCCAACCGCUACACCCCAACUCCAUCAUCCAUCUCACACCAAUAAGGGUAUGCUAGACCCUUUCCAACCUCUGCACACCAAUAUUGGGUUAUGAUGGACCCAUCCAACCAAAUCACACCUUGAGGUGGUCGUAAGCCACUUAAAUGUGAUGCAGUCAAGUUGCUAACACUAUUGCAGUUUUAUCGCCAAAUUAUAACAAUACAGUUUAACUACCAAAUCGAACUUCCUUCUCUUCAAUAUCAACCCCAACCAUAAUGCAUAUGCAAAAAUCUCUCAAUACAUAUACAUAUAUAUAUCAAAUCAGACAUUCUCAUAUCCAAUUACAAAAUAGAAAAAUAAACAAUGUGCACAAUUUUCGAUUAUCACAUCCAUACAUUUUCAUAUAUUAGGUUUUGUAUACAACAUCAUAUCAACAACCUAUGCGAGUAACCAUUUUAAAGUUGUGAAUGCAUAUGUAUGAAAAUGUUCUAACAAUAAUACGCCUUUCAUAUACCUACUACAACCAAUAACAGUGUCUCAAUCACUCCUACAGAGGCUUAAAUACACAAUAGAUCACUCAGGGACUAAAAUGAAUUAAUUUGCAAAAAUAGUGACAAAAUUGCAGAAACAGGACCACACGGUCGUGUGGGAAGGUUCAAACGUGUGGUAGGGGUACACGGCCGUAUGACUGAGAUACACGGCAAUGUAAGUAGGUCGUGUAACUCACUAAACCCAUGUGACAAUUUUCAAAACUAAGGAGCAGGGGAGACACGGCCGUGUGGGAACUCCCUAAGCCGUGUGACAAGAAACUUAACCUAUUUUCAUAAGCGACACAUGAUCGUAUGGACCGUCCAUGUGCAGCACACGCCCGUGUGGUUACAAAAACCACCCCAAAUCUUACUGCAAAUCUCGAACAUUAACCACAAAAUCACCCCUAUUUACGAAUGUUCAAGAAAGACACCUGAAAUCGCAAUUCCCAGCACCAAAGAUUGAUAGAUUCGCCUCUACUCUACCAAUCUGAAAACUCAAUAUCACACACAUACAAAACCUAUAAGGAUUUCGACCUUACAAUUAAAAAAGAAUGAAGAAACUGAUCUACAACUCAAAAGAUAGCACUUACACGAUUAAAACUUUUACAAAUGAAAAUGUGGAAGAACGGGAGAGACUCUAACGAAUCAAUAGUAAUCAGGGCUUAAGCGCAAAGACAAAAUGGCACAAAAACUACUAAAAUUUUAGGGUGUUAAUGGGAAAGAAAAAAAACAAAAUUGAAAAGUAAAAGAAGGACAUAAAAGAAAAUUCAAUAAUAAAGAAGAAAACAAAACUGCCAGCCAAAGAGUGAGAGAGAGGGGAACGUUACUAGGAGGAAUUUUAGGGAUUCUUGUUUUCAAAAAUUAAAAUAAAAUAAAUAAGAUAAAAAUAAAUAAAAUCCUAACCUAUCAAGUUUAUUAGAGUUAAAAACCAAAAAUAACUUCCUCUAAGCACACGCAAGGAUUUGAACAUGAGAUUUAAGGGUAAGCUAACCUUACCAGUGAACCAAUAAACUCAUUGUAUCACUAGAACACGCAAACAAACUUAAAAGUUCAACUACCCCUACAAACUUAUCCUACAAACCUUGACGUUUCUAACCCUAAUUUCGGGACGUGAUGGUAAGUAUCGAUACUAAAUAGCAAGUAUCGAUAUUUAGUAAAUUAGGUAUCGAUACUAAUGUAAAAAUCGUAUCUUGCCAAUUUUGGUUUAAAACAUUUUAUCGAUACCUUGGCAAGAGUAUCAGUAUCUUUAUAACAAGUAUUGAUACUCGUGAGUAGGUAUCAAUACCAAAUUAGGCUUCUGUCAAUUUUUUAAAAUGUCUCAUUUUCAUGGUAUCAAUAUUCAUGCCCCGAUUAUCAGUACUUUUACUUAGAAUGCAAAAAAAAAACACAAAAUAAAGUGCUCUUCAUGCUUAAAACAAUGUUCUUACUCCACACACAAUUAUGAUCUAAUUUAACUGAACUUAUUAACAUCUUUUAAACAUUUAUCAUGCCACAUCCAUACAUUUGCAUCAAAAUUACCUAACAUGCAUUAUCAGCCUUAAUCUCAAACAUCAAAUUGUUCAUAAAUGAAGUCCAAAACAACAUCAACAUCCCAUAAGUGAAAUCUUAAAUUUGUGAUAAAUAAAAUGAUGAUAAUAACUAGAACUAGAACUAUAACUCUAACCCACAACACAUUUAUUCAAAGUGUUCAAAAAAUAUAAAACCACCUACUUGAAAGUUUAUUGCCUUGCUAAGAUCACUUCAUUGGCCACUCCACUCACACUGAAAGUGCUGCUUAUCUGCAAAAAUGUUCUGUGGAGAGUGUGAGCUUAAACAAGCUCAGUGAAUAAUUGAAAUUACCACAAGGCAUACAUAACAUCAUACAUAAAGCAAAAGCAACUAAGCACCAUCACAACCAUAUUUACAACAACGUCAAACUAACAUAUUCAUGAUUCGUUAUGUUAUACGUCUAUCUUAUGUACUCACAUGCACAUACAUACAACAUAUUUCGUAUAUAAAUCAUUUAAUGAUAAUUUGGCAACUUGAGAUUAUGAAACAUAAAAGUGAACUCUAUCGCCACACAUCGGAUAGACCACACCAAUGACUCAAAGAGUCUAACAUAUCACAUAAGUGUAACAUAAAGCUAAACACUCUCCAACACACCACAAAGGUGAGUAGUCACUAGGGGUGUUCAAACGGUUAACCGAACCGAACUAGUAUUGUGACAGCCCAAAAUUGACCCUAGUCGGGAAGUGGUUUCGGGACCGCUAAACCGAGUCAUAAAAAUAAUUAGCUGUCAUAUUUGAUGCUUAUUAUAUGUAUAUAUGCAUGUGUGAAAAUUGCAUAUUUGAAUUUUGUUUAAUUGUAGGUGAAUUUUAGUAAAUAGGACUUAUGUGAGAAAAUUUUGAAAUGUGAUAGGUUAAUUUAUAAGGACCUAUUAAAGCAUGUAGUGAGAAUGAUGGGUUUGCAUGUCAAAUUACCCAAAAUUUGAGCUAGUGGCCGGCCAUGCUAUGAGUGGAAACAUGUUGGGAACAUGUUGGCUUAGUGAGGUAUGUUAGAAAAAAAUAAAAUAGGGAGUAUGGGUAAUAAAGAAAUAAAAACAAAAAAAUGUGUGGUUGUUUCCCCCCCCCCCAUGGCCGUGAGCUAAAGAAAAGAAAAAUAAAGGAUAAUAGAAAAACAAAGAGGAAGGAAGGCUCAUCUUUCAUCUCCUUCAUUGCCGAAAUUGAGAAAGGAAAGAUUGAAAAAAAGAAACCAAGGCAUUCGGCCAUGGCUAGUUCGAGGGAAAGGUAUGCAUUGUGAUUUUAUUCUAAUUGAUGUUGAGAUUAAGUUGAUAAGUGUAUAGUCUAGUUAACCCAUAGCUAAAUUCAUGAAUUCAUUGUUGGGAGAUAAGAAUGGAAGUUGCCGUAUGUAUGAGUAUAUAUGCACUUUGGAAAGGAGAUUUUUGGGUGUUAUUUGAGUUCUCUUUAUGUAUGUAUGUGCAUGAGGAUUCGGUCAUGUUAUAGAUUCAUGUUGAAAAAUGUUAAUGAUAUAUGUGUCAUAUAAAUGUACUUGUGAAUGAACUUGAGAAUAUCUAAAUUAUAGGUUGGAGGUGCCGAAUGUAGUGUUGGAUGAGUUUUAAAGCAUAAAAAUUUAGGUGACUAGAGGUUAAUGACAUUCGGCCAAAGGCUUGUGUGCUAGCAAAAUCGGUAUAAAUGUUGUUCGAUGUGUUGAAUUGAGUAAGUUAGAGGUUGGAACACUUAAGGAUUUGGCAUCUCUAUGACAUUAGAUAUAAAUGUAUGAAAGGCUAAGUUUAAGUAGUAAGGCCGAAUAGGUUAUAGAUAAGGCACUUGUGAGUCUUUGGCCAAGCAAUUGACAAAUUAAAUUAGAGUUCUUGUGACGUAUAAUGUCAAGUCUAACUUGGUAUAUUUGGCCACCUAAUUAAGUACAUCGGUGGUGUUGAAUGUAAUCUUACACAUUCGGCCAUAUGGGGUAAAAAUGGGUCGAGUGUUCAUGAGAUGAAAUUAGGUGUUUAAAUAAUGUUAUAGUUGACAUUGUGCAUAUAUACAUGCAUUCGGCCAUCUAAUUGAGUAUGAAGGUGGUGUUAAAUCUAAUUGUAUGCCCAUUCGUGAUGUUACCUUUAAUUAUGUGUAUAAUCGACUAAAUGGGCAAUUAGUGAGGAUGGUUGCCGAAUAUACAAACAUACAUGUGCAUGUGUAAUUGAAUUAUGAAUGUUUAGCUAGAUGGUUAAACUAGUUGAUUUAUUGAUUAAGCUCAAGGAGUUAAAGGAGGAGAAUCAAGCAAAGGCAAAGAAAAGAUCAUUGAGUAGCCGAGUUGGAACCGUCCUACCCAACACAAAGUAAGUCAUUAAGCAUAUAGUUUGUAUUAAUUUAAAUGAUCAUAAUGUCUAUGUAAUGGUGCUGAAUGGAAUGAUAAAUAUAUAUAUACAUGUAUGUAUGUGGUGAUGAAAGUGUUGGAUGAAGAGAAAAGAGGUGAGAUGUAUUGAGUUGUUGAUCUCGGCACUAAGAGUGCGGGUAUAAACAUUUAUGAUCAUGAGAUUGGCGCUAAGUGUGCGGGUUUAAAUUGUACAGCACUAAGUGUGCGAGUUUGAUUAUGUAGCACUAAGUGUGCGAGCUUGAUUAUGUAGCACUAAGUGUGCGAGCUUGAUUAUGUAGCACUAAGUGUGCGAGUUGAUUAUAUAGCACUAAGUGUGCGGACUUAAUAUAUAUUUUUAAAUCACUAUGGGCACUAAGUGUGCGACAUUAUUGAGUUAAUCACGGACAGCGGAUCGGGUAAGUACCUUGAGUUCAUGGCUAAUAGGCGCUAUGUUUAUAUUUGGAGUUGAGCUUGGUAAGUUUGAACCUAUGUGACAAAUAUACUUGAAGUCACGUACAUAAGAUUUAUCGUGGAAUAGGUGAAAGGCCGUUUAGUUGUAUGAUUGUAACGAAAAUAAAAUGAUGUAUGAAAAUGCCUCAAAUAUCCUAUUGAUUAGUGUAUGGAAUGUGAAUGCAUGAUUUGGUAUGAGAUUGAACCGAUAGGUCUGAGGAACUAUGGCAUGGUUCGGUAUGGAUGGAGUAACUAGCCUCGUUCCAUUUUGUUUCCUCUUGUGAUAAUGUUAUUAAUGGAUGGUAGUGCAUUGCUUAUGACUUACUGAGUUAUAUACUCACUCGGUGUUUCCUUGUCACCUAUUCUAGGUUUCUUGGACUCGUCUCUUUUUGCGUGAUCGGGCCGUCAUCGAAGUCAUCACACCGGCUAGCAACUCUUGGUAUCUUCUUUUUAGUGGGUCUAGGAGAACAUUUCGGCAUGUAUAGGCUAUUAUGUUGUGUUUGAACUUUGGUAUGUAAACUUUUAGCCAUGCGAAAAUGGCAUAAAUGUUCGGUUGGGUUUGGUUUCAUAACGUUAGGUCGUAAAUCUUGAUAAUUCGACCUUUUUAUGCCAUAUGUCAUGGUUGAUUAUUUUGGUGUUAAAAUUCAUGAUAUGGCAAUAGUGUAGUAGGGAGAUGUUUGACAAUGAUUAGCCUUUGGCAUGGCUAGUCACGAUCAUAAUUGGUGAUAUGUAUGAUGAAUUACUAGUUAGAUCAAGGAGAAAUCACGAAAUAGGCAUAGUUGCUUUCGUAACAGAUGCUGGCAGCAGCAGUGACGUGAGAUUGAAAAUCACUAAAAAUAGUAGGAGUGGAAUUAAUUGAUGAAUAAAUUAUGUAACCGAAGCUUGAUGAGUCUAUUUUCAUAUAGAAGUAACGAAACGAUCAUAUGGACAGUAUGUUAAGAGAUAUUCAGGUUCUCGUGAGACAGGGCCAGAACGGUUUCUGGAUUCCCUGUUCCGACUUUGGAAAUUCAUUAUAAAUUAACCAGAGAUAAUUAGGAGUCAUUCCAUAUAUGUACAGAUUCCUCUCUGAGUCUAGUUUCUAUAGAAACAAACGACAUCAGUAUUGAAGCUCUGUGCAGGGAGAUAUCCAAUUCGUAAUGCGCAAGGGUCAGUGUAGUCGAUCCCUGUAACAUGGGAAACUUUUACUAAUAAACUGUACUAAUUGGCCUGACCAAAAAUUCUACGAAAAUUCUACCAUAUAAGUAUAUGAGUCUAGUUCUAGGGAAAAUUUACGGAACUGGAUUUUGAGUUUCAAAACUCAAGAUAUGAUUUUUAAAGCAACUAGUACGCAGAUUAACAGCUUGUCUGGGAAAUGUCAAAUAAGUGGUUUGAAGUCUGUUAACACCUCGUGUUCGACUCCGGCGACGGUCUCGGGUUUGGGGUGUUACAAUUUUAUUGGUAUCAGAGCUAUGGUUUAGUCGGUUCUAGGACUACCAUAGCGCGUAUGAGUCUAGCUAUACAUGCCUUAAUGUUAAUGUUUAAAUGUGUGAUGACUUCUGACGGUUAAAAUGUUUUUGUUUUGAUUAGUAAAUGGACCCCGCUGUAGAAAGAACCUUAGCGGAUGACGUUGAAAGUGUAGCGGCUGCUCCUGCACAAGGGACACCGCCUGUUGAACCUCAUUCAUCUGCGAAUAAUCAAGGUGAGGGGGCUAAACAAGCCUUCUUUACCAUGAUGAAUGAGUGGGUCGCGCAAUAUGCCCGAACCAAUCCGGCUGUCCAACAAUUCCCGAAUUUGAAUAAUCCACCCCAAGAGCCCGUAAUGCCAUCAGUCACUGAUCCUGUGAGACUGAGUAAGCCACCUGUAGACUUGAUUAGGAAGCGCGGGGCUGAGGAGUUCAAGGCCAUAGUUACUGAUGAUGCCGAAAGGGCCGAGUUCUGGCUUGAUAACACCAUUCGAGUGUUCGAUGAACUGUCAUGCACACCCGAUGAAUGUCUAAAGUGUGCUAUAUCUUUGUUGCAAGACUCAGCCUACUAUUGGUGGAGGACCUUGAUUUCCAUAGUCCCAAACGAACGAGUUACUUGGGAUUUCUUCCAAGCGGAAUUUCGAAAGAAAUAUAUUAGUCAACGGUUCAUCGAUCAAAAGCGUAAGGAAUUCUUGGAACUCAAGCAAGGCCGUAUGACAGUGUCUGAAUACGAACAUGAAUUUGUAAGACUCAGUAGGUAUGCCCGGGAGUGUGUAGCUGAUGAGGUUGCUAUGUGCAAAAGAUUCGAAGAAGGAUUGAAUGAAGAUUUAAAGCUAUUAGUGGGUAUUUUGGAGAUAAAAGAAUUCGUGACACUAGUCGAACGAGCCUGCAAGGCGGAAGAACUUGGAAAGGGGAAGAAGAAGGCUGAAUUUGAAGCUAGAGACUAUCGUAAAAGAUCGACGGGUAAAGCUCCGUUCUCAGCUGUAAAGAAGUUCAGGGAGGACACUAAUAAGUCGAGGAUGACUGCGGGAAUUUUCAUCAGAGCACGACCAUCGACGGACUCCCGAGCUACUUCGGUAGCUAGUGUGGGCAAUAAUCGUCUAGAGAAACCUGAAUGUCCCCAAUGUGGAAGACGACACAUAGGUGAAUGUUGGGGUAAGUCUAUUAACAGGGCCUGUUACGGAUGCGGUUCAAAGGACCACUUCAUUAGAGAUUGCACGGAGUUGGAUGAGAAGAAUAAAAUUCAAGGUGCAAGACCUAGUGGAGUGACAACUAGAGGUAGACCACCGAGAAAUUUAGGAGGUAGGGGUGGUAGUCAGAGAGGGGCCUCUGAUACGGCUGUUCGAGCCGAGAACCGUACUCCUGCUAGAGCAUAUGCCAUUCGCGCACGAGAGGAGGCAUCCUCCCCUGACGUCAUCACUGGUACCUUCACUCUCUUUGAUACUAAUAUGAUUGCAUUGAUUGACCCUGGCUCUACUCAUUCAUAUGUAUGCGAAACCUUAGCAUCCAGUAAGACUCUACCUGUUGAGUCUACUGAGUUCGUAAUUCGAGUGUCAAACCCUUUGGGUCAAUGCGUACUUGUUGAUAAAGUGUGUAAGAGAUGCCCUCUAAUAAUCCGAGAAUCCUGUUUUCCGGCCGAUUUGAUGCUUUUGCUGUUUGACGAAUUUGAUGUUAUUCUUGGUUUGGAUUGGUUGACCACGCAUGAUGCGGUUGUGAAUUGCAAAAGCAAGACUAUUGAUUUGAGGUGCACAAAUAACGAGAUAAUCCGAGUUGAGUCUACAGACUUAAGGGGGUUGCCAGCUGUAAUAUCAGCAAUGUUGGCCCAGAAAUAUGUAAGAAAAGGGUGCGAAGCAUACCUUGCGUAUGUACUUGAUGACAAAGAAUUAGAAAAGAAACCCGAAUAUGUGCCGGUGGAUUGUGAAUACCCGGAUGUUUUUCCUGAAGAGUUACCGGGUUUGCCACCUGUUCGGGAGAUAGAGUUUGGUAUUGAGCUUGUACCUGGAACUACGCCAAUUUCGAUAGCUCCGUAUCGUAUGGCACUAACCGAGUUAAAAGAAUUGAAAGCUCAAUUGCAAGAGUUGACGGAUAGAGGUUUCGCUCGACCAAGUUUCUCACCUUGGGGUGCACCAGUAUUGUUCGUGAAAAAGAAGGACGGAACCAUGAGGUUGUGCAUUGACUAUCGUCAACUGAAUAAAGUGACGAUAAAGAAUAAAUAUCCGUUACUGCGUAUUGAUGAUUUGUUUGAUCAAUUAAAGGGAGCAUCAGUGUUUUCAAAGAUAGAUUUGAGAUCGGGUUAUUAUCAGUUGCGGAUUCGAGAUUCGGACGUACCCAAAACUGCUUUCAGAACGAGGUACGGUCACUACGAGUUCUUAGUGAUGCCGUUCGGGCUCACUAAUGCCCCUGCGGUAUUUAUGGAUUUGAUGAAUCGGAUCUUCAGACCAUAUUUGGAUCGGUUCGUAGUUGUGUUCAUUGAUGACAUCUUAGUCUAUUCAGGAGAUGAGACCGAGCAUGCUGAGCACCUGAGAUUAGUGUUGCAAAUUUUGCGGGAUAAGAAGUUAUAUGCUAAGUUCAGUAAGUGUGAGUUCUGGUUAAGAGAGGUUAGUUUCUUGGGUCAUGUGGUAUCCGCAUCGGGUAUUCGAGUUGACCCGAGCAAAAUUUCAGCCAUACUUAACUGGAAGCCUCCAAGAAAUGUUACCGAAGUUCGGAGCUUCCUGGGGCUCGCAGGUUAUUACCGACGAUUUGUAAAAGGUUUCUCGAUGAUAGCCACACCAAUGACGAAGCUACUUCAAAAGGAUGCUAAGUUCGAAUGGACGGAGAAAUGUCAGAAAAGCUUCGAUCAACUGAAAACUCAUUUGACUGAAGCUCCAAUUUUAGUGCAACCCGAAUCAGGCAAAGAGUUUGUCAUUUAUAGUGACGCAUCCCUACUCGGGUUAGGUUGCGUAUUGAUGCAAGAAGGUCGAGUUGUGGCCUAUGCGUCGAGACAAUUGAAGCCACACGAGAGAAAUUAUCCAACCCAUGAUCUCGAACUAGCCGCCAUCGUAUUUGCUUUGAAAAUAUGGCGACAUUAUUUGUUUGGCGAAAAGUGCCAUGUAUUUUCGGAUCACAAAAGUCUCAAAUAUUUGAUGACUCAAAGAGACUUAAAUCUGCGACAAAGACGUUGGCUUGAGUUGUUGAAAGAUUACGAGCUUGUCAUUGAUUACCACCCGGGAAAGGCUAAUGUGGUUGCGGACGCCUUAAGCCGGAAAUCGCUGUUUGCUUUACGAGCGAUGAAUGUACACUUGUAUGUUCUAUCCGACAAUGUGUUAGUAGCUGAAUUAAAGGCCAAACCAUUAUUGAUUCAUCAAAUUCGUGAAGCUCAGAAAGUCGACGAUGAAUUGGUUGCAAAACGGGCUGAAUGUAUUCCGAAUAUGGAAUCCGAAUUUCAAAUUGAUGAUGACGAUUGUUUGAGGUUCAGAGGUCGGUUGUGUGUUCCAAGAAAUUCAGAACUCAUUUCGAUGAUUCUGAACGAAGCUCAUUGUAGCCGAAUGUCAAUUCACCCGGGGAGUGCGAAAAUGUAUAACGAUUUGAAACGUCGGUUUUGGUGGCAUGGUAUGAAACGGGACAUCUCCGACUUUGUUUCGAGAUGUUUAAUAUGUCAACAAGUGAAAGCGGAACAUCAAGUGCCUUCAGGAUUACUUCAGCCGAUCAUGAUACCCGAGUGGAAAUGGGAUCGAGUCACAAUGGACUUUGUGUCUGGACUGCCCUUGUCAGAAGCAAGAAGGAUGCGAUUUGGGUUGUUGUUGAUAGACUGACUAAGUCGGCUCACUUUAUCCCCGUACGUACGGAUUUUUCAUUGGAUAAACUAGCCGAAUUGUAUGUUUCUCAGAUUGUGAGAUUACAUGGAGUACCUAUUUCUAUCGUGUCGGAUAGAGAUCCGAGAUUCACCUCACGAUUUUGGAAGAAAUUGCAAGAAGCUUUGGGUACCAAGCUGCAUUUUAGCACCGCUUUUCAUCCCCAAACCGAUGGUCAAUCCGAGCGGAUAAUUCAGAUACUCGAGGAUAUGUUGAAAUGCUGCAUCCUUGAGUUUAGUGGUUCAUGGGAACGGUAUUUACCUUUGAUUGAAUUCGCUUACAACAAUAGUUUUCAAUCAAGUAUUAAGAUGGCACCUUACGAGGCUUUGUACGGUCGUAAAUGCCGUACACCAUUGUUUUGGACCGAGCUCGGUGAAAGUAAAAUUUUCGGAGUCGAUUUGAUUAAAGAUGCCGAACAGAAAGUAAGGGUAAUCCGUGAAAGUCUAAAGGCAGCCACAGAUCGUCAGAAAUCGUAUGCGGAUUUGAAACGAAAAGACAUUGAAUAUCAGGUGGGAGAUAAAGUGUUUCUUAAAGUUUCACCUUGGAAAAAGGUACUCAGAUUUGGCCGAAAGGGCAAGUUGAGCCCGAGAUUCAUUGGGCCAUACGAAAUAUUCGAACGAGUCGGUCCAGUUGCGUAUCGAUUGAUUUUACCCCCUGAACUUGAAAAGAUUCACGAUGUCUUUCAUGUUUCGAUGCUUCGACGCUAUAGAUCUGAUCCUUCGCACAUAAUUAUUCCGUCGGAGGUUGAAAUUCAAGCCGAUAUGAGUUAUGAAGAAGAGCCGAUGCGUAUCCUAGCUCGUGAAGUGAAGGAGUUGCGAAACAAAAGGGUUCCGUUAGUAAAGGUGUUAUGGCUCAAACACGGGAUCGAGGAAGCUACUUGGGAAACCGAGAGCUCGAUGAAAGAACGAUACCCAAACCUAUUUACCGGUAAGAUUUUCGGGGACGAAAAUUUCUUGAGUGGGGGAGAGUUGUGACAGCCCAAAAUUGACCCUAGUCGGGAAGUGGUUUCGAGACCGCUAAACCGAGUCAUAAAAAUAAUUAGCUGUCAUAUUUGAUGCUUAUUAUAUGUAUAUAUGCAUGUGUGAAAAUUGCAUAUUUGAAUUUUGUUUAAUUGUAGGUGAAUUUUAGUAAAUAGGACUUAUGUGAGAAAAUUUUGAAAUGUGAUAGGUUAAUUUAUAAGGACCUAUUAAAGCAUGUAGUGAGAAUGAUGGGUUUGCAUGUCAAAUUACCCAAAAUUUGAGCUAGUGGCCGGCCAUGCUAUGAGUGGAAACAUGUUGGGAACAUGUUGGCUUAGUGAGGUAUGUUAGAAAAAAAUAAAAUAGGGAGUAUGGGUAAUAAAGAAAUAAAAACAAAAAAAUGUGUGGUUGUUUCCCCCCCCCCCAUGGCCGUGAGCUAAAGAAAAGAAAAAGAAAGGAUAAUAGAAAAACAAAGAGGAAGGAAGGCUCAUCUUUCAUCUCCUUCAUUGCCGAAAUUGAGAAAGGAAAGAUUGAAAAAAAGAAACCAAGGCAUUCGGCCAUGGCUAGUUCGAGGGAAAGGUAUGCAUUGUGAUUUUAUUCUAAUUGAUGUUGAGAUUAAGUUGAUAAGUGUAUAGUCUAGUUAACCCAUAGCUAAAUUCAUGAAUUCAUUGUUGGGAGAUAAGAAUGGAAGUUGCCGUAUGUAUGGGUAUAUAUGCACUUUGGAAAGGAGAUUUUUGGGUGUUAUUUGAGUUCUCUUUAUGUAUGUAUGUGCAUGAGGAUUCGGUCAUGUUAUAGAUUCAUGUUGAAAAAUGUUAAUGAUAUAUGUGUCAUAUAAAUGUACUUGUGAAUGAACUUGAGAAUAUCUAAAUUAUAGGUUGGAGGUGCCGAAUGUAGUGUUGGAUGAGUUUUAAAGCAUAAAAAUUUAGGUGACUAGAGGUUAAUGACAUUCGGCCAAAGGCUUGUGUGCUAGCAAAAUCGGUAUAAAUGUUGUUCGAUGUGUUGAAUUGAGUAAGUUAGAGGUUGGAACACUUAAGGAUUUGGCAUCUCUAUGACAUUAGAUAUAAAUGUAUGAAAGGCUAAGUUUAAGUAGUAAGGCCGAAUAGGUUAUAGAUAAGGCACUUGUGAGUCUUUGGCCAAGCAAUUGACAAAUUAAAUUAGAGUUCUUGUGACGUAUAAUGUCAAGUCUAACUUGGUAUAUUUGGCCACCUAAUUAAGUACGUCGGUGGUGUUGAAUGUAAUCUUACACAUUCGGCCAUAUGGGGUAAAAAUGGGUCGAGUGUUCAUGAGAUGAAAUUAGGUGUUUAAAUAAUGUUAUAGUUGACAUUGUGCAUAUAUACAUGCAUUCGGCCAUCUAAUUGAGUAUGAAGGUGGUGUUAAAUCUAAUUGUAUGCCCAUUCAUGAUGUUACCUUUAAUUAUGUGUAUAAUCGACUAAAUGGGCAAUUAGUGAGGAUGGUUGCCGAAUAUACAAACAUACAUGUGCAUGUGUAAUUGAAUUAUGAAUGUUUAGCAAGAUGGUUAAACUAGUUGAUUUAUUGAUUAAGCUCAAAGAGUUAAAGGAGGAGAAUCAAGCAAAGGCAAAGAAAAGAUCAUUGAGUAGCCGAGUUGGAACCGUCCUACCCAACACAAAGUAAGUCAUUAAGCAUAUAGUUUGUAUUAAUUUAAAUGAUCAUAAUGUCUAUGUAAUGAUGCUGAAUGGAAUGAUAAAUAUAUAUAUACAUGUAUGUAUGUGGUGAUGAAAGUGUUGGAUGAAGAGAAAAGAGGUGAGAUGUAUUGAGUUGUUGAUCUCGGCACUAAGAGUGCGGGUAUAAACAUUUAUGAUCAUGAGAUUGGCGCUAAGUGUGCGGGUUUAAAUUGUACAGCACUAAGUGUGCGAGUUUGAUUAUGUAGCACUAAGUGUGCGAGCUUGAUUAUGUAGCACUAUGCGAGCUUGAUUAUGUAGCACUAAGUGUGCGAGCUUGAUUAUGUAGCACUAAGUGUGCGAGUUGAUUAUAUAGCACUGAGUGUGCGGACUUAAUAUAUAUUUUUAAAUCACUAUGGGCACUAAGUGUGCGACAUUAUUGAGUUAAUCACGGACAGCGGAUCGGGUAAGUACCUUGAGUUCAUGGCUAAUAGGCGCUAUGUUUAUAUUUGGAGUUGAGCUUGGUAAGUUUGAACCUAUGUGACAAAUAUACUUGAAGUCACGUACAUAAGAUUUAUCGUGGAAUAGGUGAAAGGCCGUUUAGUUGUAUGAUUGUAACGAAAAUAAAAUGAUGUAUGAAAAUGCCUCAAAUAUCCUAUUGAUUAGUGUAUGGAAUGUGAAUGCAUGAUUUGGUAUGAGAUUGAACCGAUAGGUCUGAGGAACUAUGGCAUGGUUCGGUAUGGAUGGAGUAACUAGCCUCGUUCCAUUUUGUUUCCUCUUGUGAUAAUGUUAUUAAUGGAUGGUAGUGCAUUGCUUAUGACUUACUGAGUUUUAUACUCACUCGGUGUUUCCUUGUCACCUAUUCUAGGUUUCUUGGACUCGUCUCUUUUUGCGUGAUCGGGCCGUCAUCGAAGUCAUCACACCGGCUAGCAACUCUUGGUAUCUUCUUUUUAGUGGGUCUAGGAGAACAUUUCGGCAUGUAUAGGCUAUUAUGUUGUGUUUGAACUUUGGUAUGUAAACUUUUAGCCAUGCGAAAAUGGCAUAAAUGUUCGGUUGGGUUUGGUUUCAUAACGUUAGGUCGUAAAUCUUGAUAAUUCGACCUUUUUAUGCCAUAUGUCAUGGUUGAUUAUUUUGGUGUUAAAAUUCAUGAUAUGGCAAUAGUGUAGUAGGGAGAUGUUUGACAAUGAUUAGCCUUUGGCAUGGCUAGUCACGAUCAUAAUUGGUGAUAUGUAUGAUGAAUUACUAGUUAGAUCAAGGAGAAAUCACGAAAUAGGCAUAGUUGCUUUCGUAACAGAUGCUGGCAGCAGCAGUGACGUGAGAUUGAAAAAUCACUAAAAAUAGUAGGAGUGGAAUUAAUUGAUGAAUAAAUUAUGUAACCGAAUCUUGAUGAGUCUAUUUUCAUAUAGAAGUAACGAAACGAUCAUAUGGACAGUAUGUUAAGAGAUAUUCAGGUUCUCGUGAGACAGGGCCAGAACGGUUUCUGGAUUCCCUGUUCCGAAUUUGGAAAUUCAUUAUAAAUUAACCAGAGAUAAUUAGGAGUCAUGCCAUAUAUGUAAAGAUUCCUCUCUGAGUCUAGUUUCUAUAGAAAGAAACGACAUCAGUAUUGAAGCUCUGUGCAGGGAGAUAUCCAAUUCGUAAUGCGCAAGGGUCAGUGUAGUCGAUCCCUGUAACAUGGGAAACUUUGACUAAUAAACUGUACUAAUUGGCCUGACCAAAAAUUCUACAAAAAUUCUACCAUAUAGGUAUAUGAGUCUAGUUCCAGGGAAAAUUUACGGAACUGGAUUUCGAGUUUCAGAACUCAAGAUAUGAUUUUUAAAGCGACUAGUACGCAGAUUGACAGCUUGUCUGGGAAAUGUCAAAUAAGUGGUUUGAAGUCUGUUAACACCUCGUGUUCGACUCCGGCGACGGUCUCGGGUUCGGGGUGUUACAAGUAUUAACCAAAUUAAUCAAAUUAACCAACCUUUUUAAUCUUUUAACCAUUAACAGAAUUGAAUUUUUUUCAAAAAACUUAAUCAAACCGACAUAUUUCAGUUAAUUCGGUCGACCGAAUUAAUCUAAAUUUAUAUGUUUUGUUUUUUAAAAAAAACAAGUAUAAAACAUAUCAAUUUUUUUUGAUAAUGUUCAUUUGACAGAAUUAUUUGAAUUAACCGAAUUAGUAAUAGCCUAAUACAUAUAAUAUAUAAUAUAUAAUAUUAUUUAUUAACUUCGAUUAAUUCAGUUAAUUACUCAAUUUCGAACCUAAUUAACUGUUAACCGAAAUUUUAAAAAAAUUUUAACCCACCUUUGACCAAACUAGAUUGGUUAACCGACCGGUUAACCAAAUUAGAUCGAUUCGGUCAGUUAAUUCAGUUUUAGCCGAAAUUUGAACACCCCUAGUACUCACAUCCUAUGGCAGCCCAACAUCCUCUGUUCAUACACAUCAAUUCAUAUCACAACCUCGUACAAAAGCAUACUUAUCGGUUUCAAUUUAAUUGCACUAUAAGUGUCGCAAAAAUGCUCAUUGAGCCAUUAUAUAUUAGGUCACAUACGUGUGCAUUAAAAUCAUUUUAUCACAUACAAGUAUUCACACAUAUUACUUGUCAUAUCAGCCUCACCUUUCACAACUCAAUAUACAUUAGGCAUAAUUUCAUAACAAGAAAAAAGUAUAAAGAAGGCUUACACUCGGAACUUAGGUUAGGAGUUUCAACUAUUCCUAAUCUCCUGCUUAAUGCUACGAAUUGCGCAUACCGGCAACGACUUCGAGCACUCGCUGUUUGCUCUUUCGCUUAUUAGCUGAAAGCUCAAACUAGCUUUUCAUUGCCUUUUGCCUUGCUCGUAAAGGGCUCCAACGGUUUCAAAUCUUCACAAACAUUAAUUACAAAAUAUGUAAAAAUGAUUAACAACCAUAACCACAACAUAAUCAAACAAAAACACAGAUUCUACCAAGCUCCUUUUUAAACCGAAAAUUUCAACUAGUUUAUUCGAAACUCAGAUUCCUUAAUCUAGACCUAUUCCUAUUGCUUAAAAUUAAUUCUAAAGACCUAAUUAUACAUUUAAGAACAUGUCUCAACCUUUAAAAUGCCCAAAAUUUUAGAUUUAAGUUUUUAAAAAAAGUUCGACGUUCAUGACUACUUUGAAAGAAAAAUCAUUAAAUCCUUCAAAUAUUUUAACGAUUGAUUAAAGCAAGUUUUAAAACCUUCUAAUCUCAUCGAAACAAGUCAAAAAAACACCUAGAAACAAUAGUUUCGCUUAAAAAUCUGAAUUCUACCAUUAACGACCCAAAUUUCAGCUAACACAUGAAAUACUUGUUUCAAUGGAUUAAGACUUGAUUUGAAAGGCUAGACUACAUCAAAAUCUAAUAGAAAAACAAAACCUUACCUCAAUUGAGAAGAACAACAAAUGGUUGGUUGAAAUUCGAGAAAACCCACUAGGAAAAGAAUGAUGAAAUUAAUGGUGUUCUUGAUGUUUUUUUUUCGAAUUUGAAAGAAAUUUGGUGUUUGGAAGAGGGUGAAAAUCACAAUGGUUCAGUUACUAGAGAUCAAAAUAUUUGAAUGAUGUUUAGGAAUUUACAACUAACGACAAAAGAAAAGGGAAGGGAGAAAUGUGUGUCAACUAUAAGGUGAAGGGGAAAAUAGGUUGAUUUUUAAAACAUUGGUAUAAUUGCUUUUGAGCUACUCUCAAAUUUAACCCCUUUGCAAAACAGUCCUCUUUUUAAAUUGAAGGCAUUUUUCUCAUUUCUUUCAUAAAUUGGUUUUAUUUAACAAAAAUACUUUCCAGUUACUAAAUUUUGAAUUCCAAAACUUAAUUUUGGGAUGUGACAACUUUUAUUUUCAAGAAUUUAGUCCCUCUACUUUUCAGAUUUAAAAAUCAAGUCCAAUUGUUAACAUUGUUAAAAUUUUUUGUCAAUUUUAUUGAUGUCACAUUUUUAAACAAAAAAUACUCACUUGGUAGUUAUGUAACUAAACAAAGACGUUGUAAUGAACCUGAAUUUAGAAAAAUAUGUUCAAUAUAUACAAAAACUAUAUAAAAUAUAAAAUUAUAGAUAUAAAAUAAACUUAAUUAAAUAAUGUAAAGAUAAGAAAAUCUCAAAUGUACGUUUGUUUCAUUGAAAACAACUAUUGUGAAAUAUUUUCAAGAAAUCUGCCACACAAUCGAAAAUAUUUUAUACAAAUUCAUUCAAAUACCAAAAUAUAUAUUUUUUUCCCAAAAAACUAAGUCAUUUUCCAGAAAUCAUUUUCCGAAAGUUAUUUUCAGUAAAACAGACGGAGCCUUAGUUUAUAGUGUUUCACAUUAUUUUUUUCCUGUCAAGCUUCACAUAAUGUAAUUCAUAAGAUAGAAUUCCUUUGUUUCAUUUCUUUUGAAACUAUGAUAUUUGAGUUUAAGUGUUAAUUACAUUAGAAUAAAUAUUAUAUAUAUUAUAUUAUGAUUAUUAUAUAGAAUAAUAUUAAAUAUGAUCAAGUUUGGGUUUGAAUAUUUCUAUCCAAAGCCCAAGGCCCAACGUAUUUUUUUAAUGGGUUUUUUUGCCCAUACUUUGAGUCUCUUUCUUUUUCCAUAACUUACAAAAUUUUGCCCAAGUCUUCAAGCUUGUGUCAGUAGUUCAACCCUUAAAGGUCUAUUUCAAAGUAAUAAAAAAUUAUUUAUCAUCAGCUUAGAAACUAACACAAUUUGUAAUAAAAAAUAAAAUAUGGUCAACAACACUAAAACUCUACCACCAAGUCACGAACACAUUUCAUCUCUGCACGCCAACUUUGUCAUAAUCUCCACCUUAUAAAAUACAAUAAAGAAACACAUAUCAUGAACUUCAUACCUCAAUAGUUCUAGCUUUUUAAAUAGAUGUCACAACUUUCAUGAUCAAACCUGUAAAAGAUUAAUGUACCGAAAAACAAUAAUUUUCCUUUAAUAAUAAAUUCACAAACAAUUUCAGAACCUAUAGUACAUUCUUUUCCCUUUUCCGAUCAAACAAUUAUUAGUCUCUAAUAUUUCAUCACAUGGUUUUCUCCUUAACAAUCUUACACAAUGUAUAUACAUUCACUAUUACCAUUGUCAUUAAAUAAAGUUUUUAAACUUUACUAUUUUUUCUUAAAAACGAGUAAAAUAAAUAAAAUUAUCUAAAAAUAGACAUCAGAAUUUGAACUUACAAAACACAAUCACCAUAAGCCACUAAACUCUAAUGAAAAGGAAAAUGCAACAAAAUGCUCACUAAAACAAACAAGCAUAAUAUUGCCAUGGUAAAAUCAUACUAUAGCCCCUAAAGUGACGUUGCUCCUACUUUCACUACACCAAAACAGGUUUUUAGCAACGUUUAGCGCCGCUAAAAGUAUUUGCGGCGUUUUUGAAAGCGCCGCAAAAAAUGCCUCUAUUGUAAACGCCGCAAACAUGAAAUAAAUGCCGCUAUAGAUCAUGACCUUUAGCGGCACUUUUCCCACAAACGUCAGUAUAGAUUAAGACCUUUAGCGGCACUUUUUUCAAAAACGCCGCUAUAGAUUAGGACCUUUAGCGGCGCUUUUCCACAAACACCGCUAUAGUUCAAGAUCUUUAGCGGCACUUUUUCUACAAACGCUGCUAUAGAUCAAGACCUUUAGCGGCAUUUUUCCAACAAACGCCACUAUAGAUCAAGACCUUUAGCGCCGCUUUUUGAUACAAACGCCACUAUAGAACAGACCUUUAGCGGCGCUUUUCACAAAAACGCCGCUAAAAACAUAUCUUUAAAAAAAAUAAUUUUUAAAUAAUAUUUAUUUCUAUGAUAAAUAUUAUAUUAUGUUUCAAGGAUAAAUAAAAAAAUAUUUUUAAAUUAAAUUUUCUAUGAAAAUUUUAACUUUAAAACUAAAUAUAAAAAUUAAUGAAUUUAAAUUUAAAUUUAGAAUUUAAAAUAAUAAAUUAAUAACACAAUUAAAAUUCAAAAGUUAGAACUCUUAAGUAAAAAUAAAAAUUUAGAAUCAAAACUAAAAUAAAUAAUACAUAUGCAAGGUAAUAAAACAUACAAUGCAUUUUCUUAAUCAAGUAAAUCUUGGUAAUAAAAGAAAUAAUACAUUUAUUUAAUCAAGGAAAUCUUGUAAUGAACUCAAAGCAAUGAGCGUCAGAAUUGAGAAGAAAAAAAGAAUCACGAUACACAAACGAGAUCCAGAACUUCUGCUCCUUUGGACGCCCACACUGGGUAGUCCCCGCUUCAACGCCAUUGGCUAUCAGAGCCUAAUAACAACAAUAGUAGCAGCAAAAUCACUCAUCAAAAGGUGGAAAAAGGAUAAUUACAAGUUAACAGUGAGGAGAUCGCGUGAAACAUAAAGCAGCAGAUCCAUAUCGAAGCUAGUUGGAAUGGAAAUCCAUGGGAAAGCAAGCAUAGAUUAAAACUUCAUAGAACUUUCUCUAAAAUCUUCAUAGUAAACUGCUUCAGUCUACUUUUUACUUUACUUGUACAACAAUUACAUGAAAUGCCAAAAUAAAAAAUAUGGGUCUGCGCCACAGAAUCCAUAAAAAACUUCAUAGAACUUUCUCUAAAAAUUUACUCGCCAAUGUUCUCAACCUUUUUUUCAAGAAUUUGGAGCAUGCAGAAACCAUAUAAUUUAACUAUCCCAUUUUACAGUGAAAGCUAGGAACACACAAGAAACAGAUGAAAAAGGAUAAAUCUAAUACCCGUAAAGCAUCUGUAACUUGGCAUCCUUGUAGCCCAUCUUUUUGCAGAGACCAUCUAUUCUCAGCAUUUUUCUUCUUUGAAAAACCCGUAAAAUAUGGGUUUUGGUGUUAAAUAAUGCGACUGCCAUCAAUAUCAAGGUCGAAAUCAUAUCUUAUUCUUCCAUAUUAAGAAAAGUAUGCUAAAAAAUGAGGGUUAGAAAAUAAAGUUUGAAACAUACACCAUUGAUGUAAGUAUAGGGUUAGAACUGUAUGAACAUUAAGCAAAAUAGCCAAUUUAAAUUCACUUAACAACAUUAAGAAAAAUAAGUCUGGUUGAAAGAAAUGGAGCCAGGAGAGAAGAGAAAAACCUGUUCAACAAUGCUAGCUGCCUCAGCAAGCCUAUGAAGAAAUAUAUUAGAUAAGCCUAAAUUAGCUAAGGCUCUCCAUUCAAUAAAUUUCUUGUACUAACUUAUUAAACCAGAGAAGUACAAAGAGCAUUAUGGUACUGCUUGCAUGAACAUGGAAAGCAAGUUGCCAUGACAAAAUGAAAACAUGAGUAUAGGUCUUAAAAAAAUAAUAAGAUAAAUAAAUAAAUAUAUUAUAGUAAACAGGAGAGUUAUAAGAAGGAACCAUGAACCUUGAGAGCCAAGAAAACAGGAGAGUUAAAACAAACCAAUUAAUUAUAUUUACCAAGUUUUAUUAACUUUAUAUAUAUAUAUAUAAUGAGAAUAAAAAGAAAAAGAAAAUAAUACUUACUCUUCUCUAUAUCUGGGAGGUCUGUCCUUGAAUCCCUUUCAAUGAUCACCUGGAAUAUAAACAAACAUAUAAUAGACAGACAAAAAAAGUGAUCAAUAACCAUCAUUUAUGGUUGAGGCUGACACAAUGUUUGAGCCUAUAGCUGUAAUUAGCAGGUUAAUAACUCAAAAAUAAAGUGACCAAAAAUUAUUACAUCCAAGAAAACCCUUUUCAGACCAAAAUUUGAUUAAUCAGAUACUGUAAUAACAAUUAGGAACCUUGGCCCCCUUAGUAUAGGCAAACUACACUUCUAGCCUCUUCUAAAAAUUCUUAACUUAAUUUAAGCCCUUUAGCCCCUUAAAUAAAUGUUAAAAUUCCCUUUUUGGCUACUCCAAAAAUUUAAUAAAUAUAUUAUGGAAAAAUAAUAUGCAGCAUCCGUGAUACAUAUGCUUCUACCUCUAUAGCAAGAAGGAAUGAGAGAAACGUUAUACCUCUGCUCUCUUUUUCCUAGUGGCGACAUGCAGUGCAGUGUUACCAAACUUGUCUGGGAGCAUCACAAUAGCCGCAUCUGCCUCAAAAGGAUGGCACCGCAUCAUUCUCACUAGUCAAUAAAUCAUAUAGCAGAUGGCAAUAAGCAUUUCAUAACAUUAGUGUGACAAUAUUGAAUAUGUUGUCUUGCACUUCAAAUCUCCAUCAUAGUUCCCAAAUAAUCAUAAUUUCUUUUGUUUUGUCGUAGAAAAAAAAACUUGCUGCAAGGAAUGGAUUAUAUAUGACAUUAAUCAAAGGCAACCAAGUAAAAGUAAUCCAUUUUUACUUUUUGGUUCAAAAUAUUCUAUCCCCCAUUUACCAACAUCUUUCGAGCUAUCAAACAUAGCUUUAUCAUCAAAUUUAUUCAUCAGACUUUGAGACCAACUUGAACCAGUGCUUUUACUAAAUACCAUAUUCACAAGAACUUGACUAACCAAUUGAAAUCAAAUAACAGCACAAGAAAAAUCACAAAACGAAAGCUAAAAAUCAUUACCAUGGUGCCCUUGGCUUGCAGCAAUAUGCAAUGGAUCUAACCUAGAUUUGUUCUUCUUAGUAACGGUCUCUUUGUUUGAGUAUUUUAACAACUCCUUGACAACAUCAAGAUGCCCUUUCUUUGCAGCAGUAAACAAGGCAGUCUCCCCCAACUCAUUCACCUCGUUUACCACACUAGCCUGUAUCUCUGAAACCUCCAUAUUGAAAUCUUCCCCACUCGCAGUCUUCAUCAUCUGAGAAUCAAUGUCCAUCUCAGGAAUCUUCUAGCAUUGAUCGAUCCACGUGAACUCCACACCUUGUAAAGAAUCACCACUCAAACUCCUACAACUAUUAUCAACAGAAAUAAUCUAAGAAAUAUAUAUUGAAAGCAAUAGAAAUAAAAAAGAACACCUCUUGAACAGGAGGAAGUGCGGCUCUUCUUAGUUUUUCUCUUGACAUUUUCCCUUGAAAUCCUGUUUCAUUUCUAGUUCUUCAAUGGAAAGAAAGUACUAAUUUUUCUUCUUCUUACUCAGAAAGAUCUGAUUGAAAGGGAAAAUGGGAAAUGGAAAAAGAAUUAAGUACAAACUUUUAUUUGGGGCAUUUAGGGCGCUCGAUGGAUAUGAGAAAAAAAGGGAGUAAUGAGCGGGGUAAUCAAAAAUUAUUUUUGAGGAGUGGGCGGGAUUUUGAUUAUUUUUUGCGGCAUUUUUCUCAAAAACGUAGUAAAAAAAUUAUUUAUUUUGUACAAAACGAUGCCGUUUUGCUCUGUUGAAAAUUUCAAUAUAUUUUUAAAUCCACAUGUCAAUACAUAUGAAGUUUAUUUAUUAUAUAUCUCUUAAAUAAUUUCAACUAUACUCAAUUUCAAUAUAUUUAAUUUAUUAUUAUCUCUUUUAUAAUUAUAUAAGAACAUAUUUAAAAUAUAAAUUAAAAAAAUAAUUAAUUUAAACCCAAAACCCUAACUCGACCGCUGAAUCUUUAAACCCUAAAUCCAUAACUCUUAACCCUAACAUCUAACUCCUAAACCCUUAGCCCCUAAACCUUAAAUCUCAACCUUUAAACCAUAAUCCCUAAAUUCAUACUACCUAAACCUUAAAGUAUGAACUCCUAAACCGGCCUUAAAUCUUAAAUUAAUCAUAUACCCUAAACUAAAAACCCUAAACAAAUUUAUUAUUAUCUCUUUUACAACUAUAUAAGAGCAUAUUUAAAAUAUAAAUUAAAAAAAUAAUUAAUCUAAACCCAAAACCCUAACCCGGCCCAUGAAUUCCUAAACCUUAAAUCCCUAACUCUUAACCCCUACAGCACGUUUGGUUCGCUGUAUUGGAAUAAAGGCGUAAUAGAAUAGAGUUGUAGUAGCAAAUCAAUUGUUUGGUUGAAUGUAAUGGAAUAGAAGCGUAAUAGUAUUCUUGUGUUUGGUUGAAUGGAAUAGAGGUGUAAUAGCAUAAUGGAAAAAACUAAAAUGACUAGAAUACCCUUAGCAUAAAUUUGUUUUGGUAAAUGAUUAUUGUUAUUGUUAUUUAAAUUUUAAUAAGAUUAUUAAUAUCAAUAAUAAAUAAUUUAAUCAUAUUUAAACAUAAUUAUUAUUAAAUAUAUUAUAAUUAAAAUAUAUAAUUUAAUAAAAUUCUUAAUAAUCAAUAUUCUUAUAUGAAUUUACUCAAAUCAUAAUAUAUAAUACUAUAAAAUAUAAUUUAAAAUAAAUAUUAUUAAAUAUAAUUUAAUAAAAAUAUAUAAUUUAAUCUCAAGUUUGAAUGUGUAUUUACCUAGCAAAAAUUAACGAACUCUCGUGUAACUAUAACCUAAUAAUAUAUGAUGUAUAAUUAAUAUUUCGUGACUAAUUAAUAGCAUAGAGAUAAAUAUAGUAAUGAAGAAUUUAUAGUAUACGAUUAAAAUGCUAAUAAUUUAUAGUAUACAAUUAAAAUAUUAUAAAUAAAAUAAUAGUAAAUGAUAUAUAAGAUAAAUUAACAUAUAAAUAAAUUAACUUAUAUAAUUUAAAAUAAUUAUUAUUAAAUAUAAAUUCUUUAAAAAGAAUUUAUUCCCUUUUUUUUAUGUAUAUUUGUUCUUGGCGGCUAAAUUCUAUUCCAACUGUUCACAUGUUUUUUCAUGCCUCAGUCAGUUCCUUUGUACAACAGCAAUACAUAGAACAGAUGCAUUUAGAAGCAAAAUUUAUACUAAAAGUAGAAUUUGGAAGCUAUAGAAUAGAUGCCAAAAGAUUUACAAUUGUAGGUUUUUCACUUCUCUUGAAUCUGAAAACACUUGCAAGCAAUCAGGAUUUUGAACUUUGCAGAAAAGCUCACCAAUCUCACAAAUAAUUUACAAAGUAAUGGAACUGGCAUAAAAAAAAACACACACACACAUAUCUUGUUGUCCGUAUUUGCGGUUCGGAACGGCCAACAAAUCGAACAAAUCCUGAACCAAAAACCUUUCUCCUUCUUUGGUGGUGAUGCCUUGGUAUCCCUCUUGGCAACGAGAUCAGCCAUGAACUCAACAACAGCCUAAUGUAGAAAGAAGUUGAAUGAGUUAGUAGCUCAUAAGAAAUCAAAUAGGAAAGGUCCCAGCAAGUUAAAUUUGUGGCUAUUACUUCACAAUGUACCUAUUAAAAAUUAUUGUAACCUACUUAAGUUCCAUGUAGCAAAGGAAAAGCACAAGAAUAAACUAGAAUUAAAGCUGGAUGAUAGAACAUUUGCUUCUGAUAGAAAUAUUGACAACAUCAAAACAGAACACAUUCAAAUUUAUGGAUUUUCUUAUCCCGAAAUUUGUAGUUUCAGAUUAAUAUAUCAAACCUAGCAGUACAUCUCUCAAAUCAUAUAUUAAUAUUCUCAUGAAAUAAAUUUUCAUUUGUUUUCUCAAUAAAGACAAAUCAAUUGAGACACAACCCACCAGGCUUUGGCUACCAGGAUUGCACGACAUGCCUACCAGUUAUGUUUGUAACUUGUGCUUUAAAAUUAAGUUCAAUUAAUUGCUUAAAUCUAUAGCCCCUAAAAUAAGAAGAAUAUAGAACAUGGCAUAGCUACAUUUUCACUCUUUCCAAAUUAUACAAUCAAACAAUACAUACACACACAGACAUGCAUCAAAUUCUAACCGUAUACAACUUGACAGUUUCACAUCUCUGAAUAGUUCAUGAGUUUCAACCAAAGGAUUACAGAAGUUGCAGUAAAAGACAGUGAUUGUUUUUUUAUUGCUUCUAACUACAUUAUGGUCUCAAAGAAAAUGCAAACCUCAAAUGGAGGGGAAAACAAGUGCAAGUGACCAUAAAUAGCUAUGCAUUUCAAUGCUCAAUUAGAUAACCAACACUCAUAUUUGUGCAUAAAGUGUAGUGUGAAAUUCUUGAUAUCUUUAUUAGGACAUUCUAUGUAUAAUAAUCUAAACUUAUACAUUCUAUGUAUAAUUAUCUAAACAUAGAUAAUAAAGUUGCACUUUGUUGCUAGAAGCAGCAUGACAAGGGCUAAGGCAACAGAAAACAUGUGAAUUGAGCUAUAAAGUCAGUAUGGUGCUGAUGUAGCACAUACACGAAUAUAUAUAUCCGCUUAAUCCAACUGUCAUGUUUCAUACCUAUGUUACUCAAACUUGGGUGUGAGUGUUGGAUACAGGUAUGCAUCUGGUAUGGUUAAGCCUUUCUAAGGUUUCCCAUGUAUUCGGAGGAUCUUUAGAGGUAAUAACUCCAUAUCCACAUGUCGGACACAAGUGCUGGACAUGGGUACUUCAAGAAAAAUUAUUCAAGCAGAUCAUGCCCAUCAAAUUUCCAAGUAAUUAAAAACUUCUUAACAUCAUUUGAUAUAAAUAAUUUCAAACCAUCAAAUAUAUAUAUAAAAAGACAAUAUUCAAGAUAAGGGCGAUUAAAUAUAAAAAUAAGGGCAAUGAAAUGGAGAUGUAAAUACAAUACAAAAAAGGUAAAAGAAGCUAAACCUUUCAUCUGCUUCAUUUUCUACUUCCUCAUCUGGCUCAGGUUCCUAGCACCCAAGCCAUAGAAGCGAGUCAUAAUUUUUAACUGUAACUCAAAGCAUAAUUUUUAAAGCUGCAUCAAGCAAACAAGUUACAAAGCUUAAGAACUAACAUAGAUAAUACAAGUAUAUAUAUUUAUAUGGAAUCUGAAAAUUUACCUGCAACAUCUUGAUUAUCAUAAGUGGCAUGAUAAACAGUCCCAUAGGUGCCAUGAGCUAUAACAUUCCUUAAAUCCAACUUAGCCAAAUCAAUCUCCCAUUCCUCAGCUGGCCUUUGUUUCUCAAUGUUCCUAGACCAAACUCAGCUCAGGUGCUUCUCCAGCUGCAUGUCUAAGCUUUUUAAAUCAAUUUGAUCAGCUCUAAAGAUCAUGUUUUUGCCACUAAUGCUUCCAUUUCCCUUCAUCUUUGAAUUUCCACCUCCUUCUAGUCCAUCUUGUUUCUUUGGUGCCUUGAUACCAUUAUCUUUCUCACCAAUUUUCAAAUCCAUAGUUAAAAUAAUAUAACAAAAUCACCAAAUAAAAAAACACAAUUAAAGACCCUUAAACUGCAAAACUGAUAAUAACAAUGGAAUUUAAACUCAAAUUAAAAAAUAAGUUGCAAGAUUCCCCAAUUUAGGACAAGAGGAUUAAAUAUCAAUCAAAUAUACAUAUGAUCGGAUAAAAAAACCCAGUUUCACCAACCCCAAAUCCUAUUAGAACCCUGCAUUCAAAAUUGAACUUAUAACCCAAGAAAGAGAAAUAGGCAUGCAAAGUAGAGUAAGCAAAUUAGAAUAACAAAACAGUUUUUUUUAAUUAAUUAAAAAAACCAUUUAAAAGAAGUUUUUGAAAGAGAAAUUCAGGACGAAAAGGCAAACAGAUAAACAGCACCAACAACAAUGGCUAAAGCAGCUACAGCUACACCAACAAGAAUUUGAAUAUCCAUAGAUUGCAAGAAUUCCAAAUCCAUGAUCCUGAUUCCAACUAUACCCCAAGAUCUUAUAUUUCUAAGUUCUAAUAAAAAGACCCCCAAAUUUCUAAUUAAUGGACAGGACAGGGGAGGAAAAAUGGGGUAUUUAUUCCUUGUUUUAACUCAUGCAAAAGGUGCUUUAUUUUGUUUUGGCUCAGCUCUUGGCAGAGAAGAGAAAAGAAAAACAAAAUCAAAAUCGAUUUUACAGAAAAGAAAAGAAAAGAAAAGAAAAACAGGGAAAAAAAUUUAGAAGAAGAAGCAGAAAUCUGGAGAAAAGAAAAUGGAGAAAAUAAAAGAAAUGUGAGAAGAAAAGAAGCGUACCGUACCAGAAGAAGAAGUAGAAAUCUGGAAAAGAAAAAAUUGGGAAACGUUGGGAGAGGAUGAGGGCAGAAAAUGGAAAAUAAAAUUGGGAAUUGAUGGGGAUUCCCUAUUACCCGCUUCAAACUCAGAGUGGCUAUUACGGCCAGUAUCAGUAAUAGAGAGGGAAGGGAAUAGGGGCGUAAUACGAUUACACCCAACCAAAGGUCUGUUUGGUGGUGGGCCCGGGGAAUAGGGGGAAUGCAUCCCUAUUCCCCCAACCAAAUAUGUUGCUAAUGUCUAACCCUUAAACUUCUAAACCCUAAACUUUAAAUUUCAACCCUUAAACUAUAAUCCCUAAUCCAUAAUCACUAAACCCUAUACUCCUUAAACCUUAAAAUAGUAACUCCUAAACCGAAUUUAAAUUUUAAAUAAAUCAUAUACCCUAAACCAAAAAUCCUAAAUUAUAGUGAUAACUAAUUCAAUAUUUUAAAAUUAAUACUAUCUCUUUUACGAUUAUAUAAGAAUUUUUUUUAAUAUAUAAAUUAAAAAAUAAUCAGUAAUCAAGUACCAAAAAACUUUAAAAUUAUUUUAAAUAAUAGUAUUUUAAUUUUUCCUUGUGUUUUAUUUCAAAUUAUUUCUACGUGUCAUUAUUUUUUUCUGAAGAUUUUAAAUAUUCAAUUAGAAAUAAAUUGAAUUUUAUUUAAUUAAUAUAAAUAAACCAAUUAAGAUAAAAAGUUUUAAUAUAUAAAUUAAAACUAUAAUGAUAAUUAAUUAAAUAUAUUAAACCGGCCUUAAAUCUUAAAUUAACCAUAUACCCUAAACCAAAUAUAUUAAACCCUAAACUAUAAUGAUAAUUAAUUAAAUAUUUUAAAAUUAAUACUAUCAUAUCUUUUACAAUUAUAUAUGAAAUUAUUUAAUAUAUAAAUUAAAAAUCAAUCAGUCAUGUACCAAAAAAAUUUUAAAAUUAUUUUAAUUAAUAGUAUUUUAAUUUUUCCACUUUUAACAAAUAUUUUUCUCUGUUUUUUAUUUCAAAUUAUUUCUACGUGUCAUUUUUUCAAAUUUAUCCAUUUUUAACAAAUAUUCAAUUAAAAAUAAAUUUAAUUUUAAUUAAUAUAAAUAAAUAAAUUAAAUAGUAAAUAGACAGAAAAAAUGUUUUUGCGGCUUUUUUUCAAAAAACGCUGCUAAAGCCCUGAAAGGUCAAAAAACAAUGUCGUUGGGCUUAGGUUUUUUGCGGCGCUUUUUAAAAAAAGCCGCUAAAGCUCUGAGAAUUAACGGCGCUAUUUUAAAAACGCCGCUAAAGCCCUGAAAGGUCAAAAACGAUGUCGUUGGGCUUAGGUUUUUUGCGGCGCUUUUCCAAAAAACGCCGCUAAAGCUUUGAGCAUUAGCGGCGCUUUUUCAAAAACUCCACUAAAGCCCUGAAAGGUCAAAAAAUGAUGUCGUUGGGCUUAGGUUUUUUCCGGCGCUUUUCCAUAAAACGCCGCUAAAGCUCUGAGCAUUAGCGGCGCUUUUUUAAAUAAGCUGCUAAAGCCCUGAAAGGUCAAAAAAAUGAUGUCGUUGGGCUUAGGUUUUUUGCGGCGCUUUUCUAAAAAAUGUCGCUAAAGCCUUAAAAGGUCAAAAACGAUGUCGUUGGGCUUAGGUUUUUGCGACGCUUUUCCAAAAAGCGCCGGUAAAGCUUUGAGCAUUAGCGGCGCUUUUUCAAAAAUGCCGUUAAAGCACUGAAAGGUCAAAAAACGAUGUCGUUGGGCUUAGGUUUUUUGCGGCGCUUUUCCAAAAAACGCCACUAAAGCUCUGAGCAUUAGCGGCACUUUUUCAAAAACGCCGCUAAAGCACUGAAAGGUCAAAAAACGAUUUUGUUGAGCUUAGGUUUUUUACGGCGCUUUUUAAAAAAACGCCGCUAAAGCCCUGAAAGGUCAAAAAAUGAUGUCGUUGGGCUUAGGUUUUUUGCGGCGCUUUUUCAAAAAUGUCGCUAAAGCCUUGAAAGGUCACAAAACGAUGUCGUUGGGCUUAGGUUUUUUGCGACGCUUUUUCUUUAGUGACGUUUUCCAAAAAGUGUAGCUAAUGCUCGAUCUUUAGCGGCAUUUUUUGAAAAGCGCCACUAAUGCUUGAUUUUCAGCGACGUUUUUAUCCAAACGCCACUAAAAAUGCCGCUAAAAGCCUAUUUUGGUGUAGUAUUUGACAAGUGAAUCAACUUAUUUGUCCUAGGAUAUAGUGGUGCAAUUGAAAAUCUAUUUAUCAUUACUAAUCGCUACAAAUUUAAUAUCUUCAUUAACAGAUCACAGUCGUUUAAUGACUGAGAUGGGUAACAAAACCAUUCAAUCAGACUAGCACGGUAAUUUUAUUGAUGCGAGAGUUCCUCCAAAUAGAAUUGGCAAAGACAAGAAUAGCCUCUUUUAUCGCUGACAAUUUAGUUGAAAUAGGAUUAACAAUACUAAUAAAUUUAGAAAAAGAAAACAUUUUUCAAAGCAUAAUAAACAUUAUAUAUAUGACCCUCUUGUAGGUUGUGAAAUUUGAACUAAUGAACAUUAAUUAAAAUUAAAAAAAAUUAAUGGAAAGAUCUUAAUCCAUUUUUAUUCUAUAUUGAUUUAAAUUCAAUGUUUAGCUUCUAUUUUUUUGUUUAGUUUUUGAAAUCAUCUUAAAUUAAAUGUUUAAGGGUAAAAAAAAGUCUAUAGAAAAAAUUAAAAAAAUUAAUUCAGCUCUUAAAAAAAUUGCACCCUUUUGAGUUCUUAAUUAUAAAAAAUAAAAGUUAACUAAACCAUUCUGUUAACAGAAAUCAUUAGUUAACCAGUUUGAUCAUUAAAGGCGCUAACGUGAUUGACGAUAGACAUCAACAAAAACUAAAUUUAAAAUUUAAAAAAAAUCAUAAUUUUUUUUAAAAAUAAUUAAUAAAAAUUACAUCUGGAAUGAACCUGGACAUAUUGUUGUAUUGGUUUGUUUGAAUCUAGACAACAGUUUGUCUAGAUUCGUUGUAGAUGAGUUAAAAAUAUAAAAAUAUAGAAAUUAUAAAAAAUAUAUUAAUAAAUAUUUAAAAAUUCUAAAAAACUGAAAAUUGAAAAGAUCCAAAUUUUAAUAUUUUUAAUUUUUAUUAAUAAUUUAUAUAUAUUAAAAUUUUAAAAAGUUCAAAUUGAAAAAUUGAAUUACUAUUUUUAUAUUCGAAUUUUGUAUAUAUAACUUAUUAUUAAAAUUUUAUCAAUAAAAAUUAUAGACAAAAUUGGAAUCUAAUCUUCCCAACGUGAAUUAAAAAAAUACUAUUAAAAAAUUAUAGAAAAAUUUCAUAUUGUUUGUGCCGGGAAUGAGGUGAGCAUUCUUUCUCAAUUUUAAGUCCUAUCUUUCUUUCACUACACCACAACAGGCUUUUAGCGGUGCAUUUUUAGGCCUUUAAAGCACCGCUAAAAGUAUUUGCGGCGCUUUGACAAGCGCUGGAAAAAACGCCGCUAAAGACCGCGUCACUAUUUUUAGCGGCGUUUACGGAGAAAAACACCGCAAAAGAACAAGACCUUUAGCGGCGCUUUUCCCACAAACGUCGUGAAAGACCAAGACCUUUAGUGGCACUUCUCCCACAAACGCCGCUAAAAACUAUGACCUUAGCGGCGCUUUCCCCACAAACGCCGCUAAAGGCCAAGACCUUUAGCGGCGCUUUUCCAUCAAACGCCGCUAAAAACCAUGACCUUUAGUGGCGUUUUUUUAAAAACGCCACUAAUUUUGGCAGAUUUGUAAAAGAAAUUUUUUUAUAUUUUUAGCCCUCCUAUAAAAACAAAUCAGAAGAAACCAAAUAGAAACCAACCAAAAGUAAUAAAUCUAUAUAAUAUUUACAAUUAAACGAAUAAUAUAUAAUAAAUAUCAAUAAUUAAAAUAAAAAUCGUAUUAUUCUUACAAAAAUGUUAAAUUUUAAAAUGAUAAUUAAAAGUCAAAAUUGAAACAUAUUUACACGAUAGUCUAAGACGGCAGCUGUUGCGACUGCUGAAACAUCUUCAUCAUAUUCUGAAGCUGCAGCUGGAGUUUAUCGAACUUUCUACGCUGCUCUGGUUCUCUCGCUGCAGCAUCUGCUUUAAGCUGUAGCUGGAGUUCUUCAUACUUUCGUUGAACCUCAACUUCUCUCGCUGCUGCCUCCGCUUUAAGUUGUGUAAUUUGCUCAACUGUUGUCGCUUGCAUCUGAGCCAUCUGGUCUCUUAACCUCUGAACUUCAGCUUGAGCCUGACUCCCCGAAGGCAUGUAUUGUUACGAGUUGGAUCCAAAAUAUUGGGUUGGGCUAACAAAAGAUCUUUGGAAUCGAACCCGACCGUACCUUUCAGGACCCAAAACAUCAGUGAUAAUCCGGUUAUCAAUGUCGUGAAUAUGAACAGAACUAUCACUGGAAGCCAUCGCUUCGUACUCCGCUUUUUUAUCCUUUAGUUUUUCCUAAUAAAUAAAUCACAUAGUUAGGAAUGCGAUAUAUAUUAAAAAAAUAAAUGCAACAUAACUUAACGAUAUUUGCUUUACAAUAAAUGAAAUAAACCAUUAGAAAAUAAACACUAUAAAUAAUUAAAACAAGUGAAAUUGUAUUAAGCAAACGUACCAUAAUUUCUGUAGCUUCAGGAGUCAUAGGGUUUCCAUCUUUCUUCCUAUGUGUAAUGUCAAAAAGUUGAAGGCAUCCAAAUUUUUGAUCGGACGACAGUUCCUACAAUAUAGUAGUAAAAAUAUUAUUUGAUAGAAAGUAUAUAUAUAUAUGAUAGAAUUACAAAAUUAAUACUACCUCGGCCUGAGCUACAUAAGCAAAACUUUUCGACCCAGCUGUGUGAGUGAAUUUCUGUUUCUGCCUACUAUUUUUUCCAACUCGUUCACGAUCCUACGUUAUCGAAUUAUUAGUACGUUAAUUAGUAAAUACUAUAAACCAAAAGAAAUUACAAGAUUUUUGUAGUAACACAUACCUCUCCUUUCUUUGAAGUCCAAAAUCUAACGACCUCUUCCCACUGAUACCUCAGCAUUCCCGGCGGGACAUUUUGUAAUUUCUUGUCUAGUGUUGUUUUUGUCUUAAAAUAGUCUUUCUUUAAAGUGCUCUUAUGGUCUCUCCAUCUUUUUCCCAAUGCCUUCUUUACAUAAGCAUUGGAAACCUCUAGAGCAAAUCUCGCCUACAAAAAACACAAGUUAAGAAAGUAAAUAUAAAUGAAACUUAAACCCAAGUAUUAUAAAUAAAAUUAACUUGUUGUUAGUUUAAUUUUAUCGCGAGUUUGGUUCUUGUUACUAUCGGGCAUUGCUCGCCAUGACUCGUAGUUAAUUGGCAACAUAUUUGCAUUCCGUGCAAGAAUGCCCAAGUAUCCUGCUAAAAGGCGAGCUUCUGAUCCAACAGGCUGACCAAAGCUAUUACUGCAGACUUUGACACGCUCGACUAGAUCUAGCUCGUAUAAAUCCCUAAGUAGCGUACGUCCUCGAACUCUUCGCGUCCCACCACUUUCAGCUGAAAAAUAUUAUAUUUUAAUAUAAGAAUUUAAAAAAAUAAACAAUAUGUCAACACACAUGUAAAUUAAAUGUUAAAUUACUUUGAACUUGUGUAGGUUCCUCAAGUGUAACCGGAACAUUCGAAGAUCCGAUAGUAGUCUGUUGUCCAGUGCUGUUUGCUUCCGCCGAGUUUGGAGUAGCUUGAACAAUGCCUAGCUCUCGCACUUUUCUUCUAGGCAUUUUAUCUGCAAUACAAAUAAAAUAGUUGAAAACUUAGUAUACAAUUACAACAAUAAUAACACAUAUAAAAUAAUUGAAAUAUAUAAUAAGAGCAAUAUUUAUAUUAUUAUAUUACAUAUAAAAAAAUAAUCGUAAAAGCUUACUACAUUAUAAGUCGUAAAUAUCUUCAUCCGUAUCCUGACGAACCCAUUGAAAUUGUGUACUAGUACUAGGAAUGUUUUCGCUUAAGUUUUGUUCUGGAAAGGACAAAGUUUGUGUUCUGUCGUUAAUGCCAUCUCUACUUCCACUGCCCAUGUCAAACAAGUCUCUAGGGAUGUUACGGAGUACAACGUGCCAACCCUCAUCAGUUGGAUCUUUUGAGUAAAAAAGUUGUUUGACUUGAGAAUAAAAUACAUACGGCUCAUCAAUCAAUUGUUGUCCUCCGUGAAUCAAUCGAGCGAAGUUCACCAUUGUGAAACCAAAUUGAUCUUGCUUGAUUCCACGAGCAGUAUUAACAUCGGCCCAAUCACCUCGAAAUAAGACAACUUUCCAUUUGCCGUAGUNNNNNNNNNNNNNNNNNNNNNNNNNNNNNNNNNNNNNNNNNNNNNNNNNNNNNNNNNNNNNNNNNNNNNNNNNNNNNNNNNNNNNNNNNNNNNNNNNNNNNNNNNNNNNNNNNNNNNNNNNNNNNNNNNNNNNNNNNNNNNNNNNNNNNNNNNNNNNNNNNNNNNNNNNNNNNNNNNNNNNNNNNNNNNNNNNNNNNNNNNNNNNNNNNNNNNNNNNNNNNNNNNNNNNNNNNNNNNNNNNNNNNNNNNNNNNNNNNNNNNNNNNNNNNNNNNNNNNNNNNNNNNNNNNNNNNNNNNNNNNNNNNNNNNNNNNNNNNNNNNNNNNNNNNNNNNNNNNNNNNNNNNNNNNNNNNNNNNNNNNNNNNNNNNNNNNNNNNNNNNNNNNNNNNNNNNNNNNNNNNNNNNNNNNNNNNNNNNNNNNNNNNNNNNNNNNNNNNNNNNNNNNNNNNNNNNNNNNNNNNNNNNNNNNNNNNNNNNNNNNNNNNNNNNNNNNNNNNNNNACAUGAAACAUUUGCAAAUAAACUCCAACCAAUAGCAUCAAAAUAGUUCAUCACAGUAUCACGAAUAUUUAUCAUACCAAUGGUGUAAAGAUCAAUUUUCUUACAAAUCGGGAGUGGAUGUUGUCGAAUGUUGUCGUAUCUUGCGUGAUGCUCUGAGGUUGAAAAGUUUAGAGACCCUCAUAAUUGUCCUUUGGUGGGAAUAGUGUAGGCACGAACUUAAUUAUUAUGUUGACCGUCUCGUGAUGGUAGAACAUUUUUGUCGGGCGAGUUGAGUGGUGGACUCGAAUUUCCAGCAGCGCUAGUACUGUUGUGUGGAGGCGUCACUGGCUCAUAUAUCAGAGGCCGACGGGAUCGAGUGGUGAACGACCGUGUUCAAUGAUGAGAAACAUGCUCAUUUGUAGUUGUUGUUAGAAGUCCUGACUUCAUCCGAGUAACCUACAUAAUACGCUAGUAAAUGUAAAAUAGGUUGUAGAUUAGGAAUUGACCUUUCGAAAGUAACGGGGCUACUGUUCGAAUGUUCUAUUUCGAUUGGAGUUGGGCUUCAUCAGCGACGAGUUCUCAUUAGCGCGACCGUUCGUCUUGCAGGGGGUGGAGACAGUUUGUCAUUGUCUAAAUCAACGAAAGAAGGUGUUAAGAACCAGUUUUGUCUAUGAUUGAGCAAAGUUGGAAUACUGUCGGUCGUUUGGUUUCGAGUUCGAACCAUGGUCAGUGAAACCAACGGUUUUGUUUAUUGUUGCUCACGAAAGUGGUUGAUGGUUUGACAGUCGAGGAACGGCGGUGGUGGUCAGUGGCAGUAGUGACGUGGGUUGGGUCAAUUUUCGAAGGGUAGUGAUGGGGGGUAAAUAGAUGGCAUUAGUUAAGCAUUUCAACAUUCGUGGAUCGACGACGGAUAGGUGCUAGGGAAGUGUGGUGGUACAUGGGUGAGAGAAGGGGCUACCGAAUAGUGGUUCAUGGUGGAGAAAAUGAGAGGCAAAUGACGGUGGAAGAAAAAAAAAGCGAACAGCGGUGGAGGAGAAAAGAGAGGGCACCGUUUGGCGAGGAGAGAAACAACAAGACCACAGCUACUCACGAGUAGGGAUGUGCAAAAUUCGCGUAAAACCAAAAAAAUUCAGUUAACUGAUCGAAUUUGGUUAAGCGGUCGGUUAAUCGAAUUUUUUUGGUCGGGGGUCGGUUAAGGAUUUUUUGAUUUUUUGGUUAACGGUUAAAUCGAUUCGAAACUGGUCGGUUAACCGAAAAAAGUCGGUUUAACCGAAUUUUGUAGGGUAAAUGGGUAAUUGGGAAACCAUGGGCCUUAAUUUAAACCCAGCCUGCCAGCCCAAUUUUAUUUUUUCUCUUGUAGGCUGCAAGCCCAAUUUUAUUUUUUCUCCUGUAGGCUCCAAUUUUAUUGUUUCUCCUGCAGGUAAAAUGGUAAACUAACAGCAAGUGCAGCAGCUAAUUUUCAUAGUUUUGCUUCUGUCCAUUUCUCAAUUUAUUUUUUGAUUUUCUUUCCAUUUCGUGAGUUCAACACACCAAUACAGCAAUACCCAGGCCAGGUUUGAUUUCUUUUAAUUUCCCUUUUGUUUUUUUUUUCCAAUUUCUUCAAUGGAUUGUAUUUUUGGCAGGUAUAUUUGAGGGUUUUAUUUUGUUUUGUUUAUAUUACUUUUUGUAGAUUACUUUUUUGUGUUCAACUAUGGCUGGUACUUCACAUUUGUACAAGGAUUCGUCUACCUUUUUUUUAUUUACCUUCAAGGUUUCAGUCCAAAGAAAAUGGUGAACCCAUGGAAGACUUAUGCAAAACUCUCUGUUUUUCUCAUAUUCAUAGGUUCUCACGGCCUCACGAAAGGAUCUUUAGCUUUCCUCAAUUACCCAGCACAACUCAUGUUCAAAUCCACCAAAGUAAACCCCCAAAGUUGAAAAUACCCAGCACCCGAAUAAGUUUCUGCAAUACUUUUAGUACUAGGUUUGAUCCAGCACACGAGUUAUAAGUUUGUUGUCUUAUUUUUUACUUGUUUGAUUCAUUUCUUUCGGUUUAACGAUGAAUGUUGGUGGUGAAACAGAGUAGAAUUGCGUAAAUGGAAAUUUGACUUUUUUUUUAAUUUUUGCUUUUGUAAUUUGGUUUUUUGAUUGGAAGACAGUUGUAGGUUUUAUGCAGAGUAAAAUGUUUCCUUUGAGUUUUUUUUGAAUAUCCUUUUUGUUGGUGAAGUUUUUGUUUUCAGAUUUCUUCCAUUUCAAUUUGAAGCCUUUUAUAUUUUGUUCCAGUGUUCUUCAGUUUGCUAAUUUAAGUUCAUUUCUCAGUUCAAUUCCAAACUUCUCUUCUCUCUUAUUUAUUUGAUAAUUAUCUUUUAGGUAGUAUCAUUUGACAAGUAUGUGAUACUGUUUUUUACUGUAGAAAUCACACUAUCUCGUAUUAAAAUAUGUCAUUUUUGAAAUUAUUUUAUUUUUUUAUGUUAUUUUGAUAAAAAUCCUUUAAAAUUUUUCGAUAAAUAAAAAAUUUUACAAAUGAUUAGGAAAUAAUUUUCUAAAAAUAAAAUAGUAUUUAUGUAUUUAUACAAUAUAAAUUGAAUUGAUAUGUUGAAGGAAGAUAAAUUAUUAUUUGAUAUAUUAAUUAUCGUGGCUUUUUUAUUUUAUAAGCAAAAUUAAAUAAUCACUAUGUUGUUCAUUUAUUUAUUUUUAAAGUAUUAAUUAACAAUAUUUUAACUAUCAUUUAUGAAAUUAUUUCAUUUGAAUAAAUUCAUGAGAAAGAGUUUAUGGUUUAAAGUUAUUUAUAUAUAAUAUGAUAUAUAUUAUAUAUAUAAAAGAAAAACAAUAAUGUUUAGCCCCAGAAUUCGGUGAUUGAAAUAUAAUACAAAGUUUAUUUUGGAAUUGGAAUGAUGUAUUAAUGUUGGAACAAUGUGCUAAUGCACUUAUUUCAAUAGUGGUGAUUCCAAUACAAUAUUAUGUUUGUGGUGAUUUUAAUAUGAUACUAAGUUUGUUUUAAAUGUUAGACUAGAAUUGUACCGACUCAAUUUGCAUUGUUGACUCUUCUAAUGCUUGUGUUUUUGCUAACCAAUUUCAACCUUUGUCUCUCCGAAUUGAUGACUCGAUAUUAUUUUAAUUUAUUAUAUACUCUUUUUUCUUGCAGAAUGUCAACCAAACCAACAUCUAUUGAGGGUAGUGUUACACCUCCUACAUCGAUAGAUUCUAAAUAUUCGGGAGUUGGAACUUCAAGCUAAGCAAAUGGGACUACUGGGAAAAGAAAAACUGCUCUUCAAAGGUCAGAAGUUUGGUCUCACUUCACUAAGAUUAUUAAUAGUGAGGGUGAAAGUAAGGCUAAAUGUAAUUAUUGUCAAAAGGAAUUUUGUUGUGAUAUGAAAAAAAUGGUACAUGGUCAUUGAAAUAUCAUAUUGGUUCAUGUAAGAAAAAUCCUAGUAAUGUUGUUGAAAAUACUCAAGGACAACUAGUUUUACCUAGAAAGGGAGUUGAAGGGGGGGAAAGGAAUCUUUCAACUUGGAGAUUUGAUCAAGAAGCAUGUAGGAAAUGAUUAGCACAAACGAUUGUGAUUGAUGAAUUACCUUUCAAGUUUGUUGAAAGUGAAGGUUUUAAGAAAUUUAUGUUUGUGGCAUGUCCUAGGUUUCAUAUUCCUUCACGAACUACUAUGACUAGGGAUGUUUAUCAAUUGUAUUUAGAUGAAAGGAUCAAGAUAAAAUAACUUUUGAGAAGUUCUUGUUCUAGAGUUUGCUUAACUACUGACACAUGGACUUCUUUGCAAAGAGUUAAUUAUUUGUACAUCACUGCUCACUUUAUUGAUAAUGAUUGGAAAUUGAAUAAAAAGAUUUUAAAUUUUUCUCCAAUUUCUAGUCAUAAGGGUGAGUCCAUUGGGAUGGUGAUUGAGAAAUGCUUGUUGAAUUGGGGGAUUGAUAAGUUGCUUACUGUUACUGUUGAUAAUGCAAGUUCAAAUGAUGUUGCUAUUGGUUAUUUGAGAAAGAAAUUUGACCCUCGAGGGGGUUUAGUUCAAAAUGGUAAAUAUCUUCAUAUAAGAUGCAUAGCACACAUUGUGAAUUUGAUUGUUGUUGAAGGCUUAAAGGAAAUGAAUAAAUCUGUUGAACGUGUUAGGGGGCUGUUAGAUAUGUGAGACAAUCUCCAGCUAGAAUACAAAAGUUUAAGGAAUGUGUUGUGGUGGAAAAGAUAGAGUGCAAGAAGAUGUUGUGUCUUGAUGUUUGUACUAGGUGGAACUCAACCUACUUCAUGUUAGACACUGCUCAGAAAUUUGAGAGAGCUUUUGAGAGAUUUGAGGAGCAAGAUACAAACUUUAGGGCUGAACUUGAAAGGGGAGAGGUUUGGCCUAGUGUGGAUGAUUGGGAUAAUGUUAGAAACUUGAGGGAUUUCUUGGAACACAUUUAUGAAGUCACUUUGCGUAUAUCUGGCACUUCAUAUGUCACGUCCAAUAAUUUUUGUGAUGAGCUUUCUGAAAUUGAUAUUCUUUUACGAGAUGCUCAGUUAAAAAGUAAUGUUGAUUUCAGUGUUAUGGCCAUCAAGAUGAAAGAGAAGUAUGAUAAGUAUUGGGGUGAUGUUGAUAAGAUGAAUUUGCUUAUGUUUGUUGCUUGUAUUUUAGAUCCUAGACAAAAACUAAAGUAUCUUGAAUUUGCACUUAGUGAAAUGUCUAGUUCUGAAAAAGCUUGUGAAACGAUGCAAAAAUUGAAGGAAUCUUUGUAUGAAUUGUUUGAUGAGUAUAAGCCUCCAUUUCAUAGCACUUGUAGCCAAUUGAGUGUGCCAACACAUGUUUCUCUCAGUGAACCACAACAAAAAAUGAAAAGGUGAAUGCAAGCUUUGUAUAAAAAGCUUGAGUUGGAAAUUUGUGGUAAGGAUAAAACAUCUGAGUUGGAUAAAUAUCUAGCUGAGGCUAAUGAGGAAUUUGUUGAAGAUUUUGAGAUUUUAUUGUGGUGGAAAGUGAAUAGCCCUAGAUUUCCCACUCUUUUAAAAAUGGCCAGAGAUGUGUUAGCUAUACCGGUUUCUACGGUUGCUUCAGAGUUUGCAUUUAGCACCGAAGGACGUGUCUUUGAUCAAUAUAGGAGUUCUUUAACUCCUAAAAUUGUACAAGCUCUUGUGCGUACUCAAGAUUGGAUUCGAAAAUCAUCAUCACAAGAAGACAUCAAAAAGAUUGAAGAACAAAUCCAAGAUCUCGACAAGAUUGAAAAUGGUAUAUUUAUUGUUUUAUUUUAAUAGUUUCAAUUUUUUUACCAUAUCAUUCCUACUUAUUUAAUUGAUUCAAUGUUUAGACUUUUAUUGCAAUGCAUCAGAGCCUACCCUAAAUUCAUGAGCUUUCAUGAGUUGAAGGGUAUGCUUACUAUCUUAUUCUUGUUAACUUAUAAUUUAUUCGUUUGUUUAUAUUAUUUAAUUUUUUUUAAAAUGCAUAUAUUUCUAUUAUAUGCUAAUUUUUUGUACAUGUUUUUUUUGUAGGAUUAAUACAAAUGGAGAUUUUUUGGAGAGAUGAAAUGGAUAUAAAUGGAGAAUAUUAAAGACUUACAUUUUAAUUAUGUGUUAAUUUUAAGACUUAUGUAAUGUUUUUAAUUAUGUAGUGAUUCAAAGACUUAUGUAAUGUUUUUAAUUAUGUAGUGCUUCAAUUCGGUUAAAUUGGUUAAAUCGAUUAAAUCGAUUAAGUCGGUUAAAUUGGUUAAAUCGGUUAAGUCGGUUAAAUCGGUUAAUUUUUAACUAAAAAUAAAAAUCAUAUGAUUUUCGGUUAAUUCGAUUAAUCAACCGGUUUAACUGAAAAAAUUUCAGUUCGAUUGAUAUUUUUUAAAAAAAUUUAGUUCGGUUAACGGUUAAAAAUUUUGGAAGGUCGGUUAAUUCGGUUAUAGCUAUUUUGGGUUGGUUAUCCGGUCGGUUAACCGAAUGCACACCCCUACUCGCGAGGUCCAAGAUCGAUGGUGAUAAUGGUCGGCAAUGGUGGCGUUGAUAUACGACGAUGGAAGCGUUGUGGUGUGAGGCGACGGCAGUGUAAUGUUAAAGAGUUAGGGUUUUUUUUGUUUUGCUUGUGUGGAGAAGAUGAAUAAGAAAGGAGGUUUUGGUGUUUUAUUUAUUUGUUUUUUAUUUAUUUAUUUUUUCUAGCCGGUUCGGGCCUUUUCUUUUCUUUUUCUUUUGGGCUCUUUCUUUUUUUUCUCUUUGGGCCAAUGUUGGCCGUGUGGCCUAAUUUUCCCCCCUCUUUUUUCUUUUUAUUUUCUUUUCUCUUUUGGGUUUUCGUUGGGCUUGUUUAGGUGUUGGGGAAUUGAGUUUGUUUUGGGUAUGGGGUAGGUGGGUUUAGUGGUUUUGGGUUUUGGGUUUUGGGUUUUAGGGUUUUUAUUUCUAUUAGGUGUGUUGGGUUUUGUUUGUAGGAAAAGUGUAUUUGGGUUAGGUGUGUGUUUGUUGUAGUUGUUUUUUUAUUAUUUAGGUCUGGGUCUUGGGUGUUGGUUUGUGAAGAAAAUAAAUGGUAGCAUUUAGCACAAUCUGUCCAUGCCACGAUCGAUAUCCGAUUUUCAAAAAAUUGACAACUUUCAUUACGUCCAUGAAAAUACCACAUUAACCUGAUUAAAUAAUAAUAUGGUUAUUAUUCAUUUUAUUUUCAAUCUAAAUUAAACUGAAAUUCAAAAAUUCAAUAAACUAAAAAUAAAUUUGGGUUGCCUCCCAAAAAGCGCUUUGUUUAACACCGCUAUCUCGAUGACCUAGAAAUUUAUUCAACCGGCUCUUCGAGGACCAAUUCCUCAACCAUGUGGACUUGAAAUUUUUCGUAGAAAAGCUUCAAUCUUUUGUCCAUUGACCUUGAAGACUUUUCCGGAUUCUUCACUUUUGACUUCGAUUGCACCAUGCGAAAAUACAUGAGUAAUAACAAAAGGCCCUAAUCACUUAGUUCGAAACUUACCUGUAAAAAUUCUUAGUGUAGGGUCAUAAAGUAAUACUUUCUUCCCUACCACAAAUUGUUUACGGGUUAUCUUUUGAUCAUGGUAUGCCUUGAUCUAAUCCUUAUAAAAUUGGGCACUUUCAUACGCUUUUCAACGAAUUUCCUUAAGUUCCUGAAUAUGUAACUUACGAUACUUACCUGUAGCUCCAUGUUGCAUUAACUACCCAAAAUACUUUGUGUUCUAGUUCUACAAAAAGAUGACAUGGUUUACCAAAAAUUAGUCCAUAAGGAGACAUACCUAUGGGUCCUUUAAGUUGUACGGUACGUCCACAGUGCAUCAUUUAGUCGCAAACUCCAAUUUUUCCUGUUUGGCUUAACGAUCUUCUCUAAAAUCAACUUAAUUUCUCUAUUCAACACCUCCACUUGACCGUUUGAUUGAAGGUGAUAAGUCGUAGCGACUCGUUGCACUACCCCAUAUUUUUUCAAAAGUGUGUUGACUACCUUAUUACAAAAACAUGUUCCCCGAUCGUUGAUCAAUGCUCGUGGGUAGUAAAUGAAUCAAACUCGACUUCAACUCGAACGACGUUCCUCCCGCUAGAUAGGUCAUAAGGGUUGUUGUUCAUCCAAUGUGCUCUGGUUCAUUGAAUGAGAAGUGUAAGAUAUGGUUUUGAAUCUGAGAUUUGGUUGUUUACUGUGUCGAAUGGCUUCUCUUUGCAAUUUUUGAGCCAACUUCUCUAUUUCUGGUUUAGACUCUAGAGACCUCAGUUCUGAUCUAGUCAUAAGGUAAACAAGAAAAUUAGAAAAAUAUCUCCAAUCCCUGGCAACGGCGCCAAAAUUUGGUGGGCGUCAAAACCUCAAAAAAUAAUUCCUACAAUAAAAUAACUCUAAACAGUAGUAAAGAGUAGUAGGGUCGAGUCCACAUGAAUUGGAUAUUAGGAUCAACUUCUGUGUUUUCCUUAUGAACAAAAUUUCGGUCAAGCUGAUAAUGGUGGCAAUAGUUGUGUCUAUGACUCCAAACGGACCUGCUGAAAAAUAAAUUAAAUAAAUCAGGGGAGUUGGCAAUGUCUAGAAAUUAAAUAAUUAAGAUAGUAGAAAUAAGCAAUUAAAGAGAUAGAAAAUAAAAUUAAAUUAGAAAAUAAAUUUGAGUUUUGAUAACAGAAAAAGUAAGCAUUAGCCCUAGACUCGAUGAAUUCCGAUCUCUGAACCGAUCCUCGAAAAUUAGUCUUAUCCCCCAAACAAAAAGUUGGUUAUAGUGGCUAAGAAUGUCCUAACCGCCAAUUCUUCCUCCCGUAAUCGGUCCCGGUACGACCUACAAACCAACCCUUACCAAUUAUCUAACCGAGAUACACGCGUUCCCGAUUCAAGAUUCCUACAACCUUGAACUUUGAAGAACCCAACUCGGAUUAACGACAUCAACCGCACGGGAUGUUUAAACCCGAUCACUAUCUCCCUUGAUUUUUUCUCAAAGAUCAGAAUACAACAUGGUCAACUUGUUUCCCCAACUGCAAACACAACUCCAACCCAAUGCGCUUUUUGAUUUCAAAUCGAGUUAACUUUAAAGGAUGAAAUUGUCAAUCCUGAUAUUUAGAAAAAGUAGUGAAUAUCGAUUGGAAGAAUUUUUAGUAUGGAUACGUAUCUCACGAUUCUUGACCGGAAAGAAAUAUCGGCCUAAAGCUAAGUUAGAAUUUAGUGAAGCAUGAAAUUAAUCAUGCUUUGGUUGGUUAUGGAGUGGAUUUGAAUGAAAAAUGGUGAAAGUUGGAAAUGGAAGGGAUUUGGAAAGCAAUUAAACUAAUUUGCAAAGAAACAAGCAAAUGGAAAUGGAAUGGCAGUAUCUACACGCAUAAAAUUUGAAAGGAAAAAAAAUAGUUUAAUUUAAUUACUUAAGCAAAUUAAAAUGUGUUUUCAAGCUACCACAAAUGCCCUAUUUAUAUACAAAUGAUUUACUAAAUUUGGCCUAACUACCCACUACACAAAAUUAGAAUUAAAUAAAAAUAAAAUCAAAUUUUCUUCAAAUUUUAGCUUUUACAAGGUCAAAAGAACUCUGAUAAGUCCUUAACUAUUUCCAAGUUUCUGAUUUGUCCCCACUUUAUUGAUUGUGCUACAAAUUAGUCUUUUUUUGCUCGUUUUUGACUCAUAGCAUCCCAAUUUCAUUCCUGACAGGAUUAAAACAUAAAAUUACUAAUUUAGUAGGGAUCAAUUCAAGAAUUAAUCGAUUUAAGCACAAAAAAUCAUGCAAAUUUAACUUGUUAUCAAUGGCCUUGUCCCAGCCCGUGUCCUCACCCGUGUAACUCUUUAAGUAGGGUCAUACGUCCUUGUCACAUGCCUGUGUGCCAGGCUGUGUAACUCUCUGACUUGCACCCUAAGGAAAUCAUCAGAUGGCAUACGGUUGUGUCACCAGGCCGUGUGCCUCACAUGGCUGAGUCACACGUCUGUGUCUCAAGCUAGGUGAACCUAAAAUUUACCUAAAAUCAAGCUAUUUUAUACCAUUGCAUGCAUAAUCUUUCAACCCAUUUAAGCACACUUUAAAGGCACCUAAAGAUCACCAAAGCACACAUCAAGAUGUCAUUUCAAGAUCCUAAUUCAACUAACCAAUAUGCCAUAUAAAGGUGCCUCAAAUGCAUACAAACAACACUUACCUAAAUAUGUCAAUAUUAUUACAUUUCAAGCAUCAUAUCCUAGUUCCAUACUUACCAAAACAUGCUACAAUUUUGACCAUUAUCAUACCAUUCCAAACAUGCCAUAAUGAGACAUACAAACAUUCAUAGUAAGGCAACCAAAUUGACAGAAUUUAAUAACGCAUCAAAUGGAACCAAACCAACCUAACUUUCAAAACUUAUACAUGCCAAAACAUCAACCAAACAUUCAUCAAAAUACCAUUACCAAUCAUCCUAUACAUGCCAUUAUAAACCUUGGCCAAAAUGCUCAAAAACUACAGAAAAGAUUUUUGGAUAGUGUGAUAGAUCUCUGAUGAGCUUCCAAACUGAUUGAGCUUCUGAUAAUCUACAAGACAAAGGAAAGAAACUACAUAAGCAACAAUGCUUAGUAAGCUCGUAUAAACAUGAAUACAACUUACAAUUUCCAUAAUACAUAAAAUAGCUAAAAUACAAUUCAACACCAAUGCCACAAGCUUAGAAAUGCCUAGCCAACAUCAUCAACUUACAAGUUAGUAAGUUUUUCCAUAAUAUAAUGAAAUCAACCAUAUGCACAACAUCAUGUAGCUUAUAUUUCCAUUCAUAAAGUCAUGAUUCAAUCCAAUUGCAUACUUACCUUUCCAUUCCCUUUUCUUGCCCGUUGAACCAUUUAGAAUUACCUCGGAUACUCUGGAAAGCUCACACAAAGUGUGACUUUACAUAUAAUCGUAAACUUUUCCUUUACAUCAUUGCUCAUAUGAGCUGUGAAAUAGGCCUACUCACACGAGUUGUGGGUCGAAAUGUAAGUUACACGAUGUUGCUCACACGAGCUGUAGAGAAUUCAAAACAAAUGCAGGACCUCAGCCAUCAGUAGGACAUUCAAGACCAGCACCCGAAACAUGAAAUCCCUAAUGACAUGUCAUUUGUAUCUUAAGAAUUCCUAAGGUUCAACCGGGACUCGAUAUUCGUCAAUUCAUCAUAGCAUUGAUAUGUUAAUAUAUCGAUCCGUUUACAUUUUAAAUAACAUAAUAACAUUCAAUUUAAGUAACAUAAACACAAUAACUGUUCAUAUGAACUUGCCUCGACAAUUAGGGUGUUACAAUUUAAUCGAGCUAAUCUGAAGCUUUUACUUUUUCUCGAUCUAGGUCCGUACGUGAUUUAUCUUGAUCUAAAUAAAUAUUUUCAUUCAAUUGAGUACUUCUAGUAUUCAAUUUUAUCCAUAUUUCAUAUUUAUGCAAAAUUACCAAUUUGCCUUUAAUAUUUUAACUUUUUAUAAUUUAGUUCUCAAGCUUAUAACUUAAAAUCUAGUCAUUUUAAUCUAAAUACAUAUUAAUAAAACAUGCAAGGGACCUUGAAGCAACUCAUAUUUACCAUUAUUUCACAAUAAAACCCUAGAAUUUAUACAUGUAACAAAUUAAUCCGUAAUUCUGAAAUUCAUCAAAAAUCACUUAAAAAAACUUGUUUAUUUUUCAAUAAAUAUUUAUAAUCUAUCAAUUAAUAUAAAAAUAUUAAAGAACAUACAUGGUAUAACCCUCAAAAUUUAACAGUUUUACAAAUUAACCCCAGGCUAGCUAGAUUAAGCUAAAACAGACUAAAAAACAUAAAAAUCAUUAAAAACGGGGCUCGAAAUCACUUACAUGCACCAAAAAAAGCUUGGUCGAACCUAGCCUUACUCUCCAAUGGUGAUUUUUGGUUGUGAAUAGAAAUGGGGAAGAAGAUGAGCUUAAUUCCUUAAGUGAUUUUAACUUUAGUUAUCGAAUUACUAUUUUAACCUUUAAAACUAUCAAAAUUACAGUAAAACUUUAUCGUGUACAUCCACUAUCUCAAUUAAAUGGUUUAUUUACCUUUAAAUUCCUUUAGUUUAAUAUUUCAAAGCUAUUGGAUUCCUUUAACUAAUAGAACUUAAUUUUUACACUUUUUAUGAUUUAGUCCUUUUUACUUAAUUAACUAUGUAAACGUCAAAAUUUCUUAACAAAAUUUUAACAUGACCUUAAUAUAAUCCUAAUGAAAUUAAAAUAAUAAAAUAAUAAUUUACUUGUCAAAAUUAUGGUCCCAAAACCACUAUUUCGAUAUCACUGAAAACGAGCUGUUACACAAGGCAUAUAUUCCAAACAUACGGGGCAAUUCUCUAUUAAAAAUGCAUAUUGAUUCCUAUCCAACCAAAGCCCAACUAGACUCCUUGACAAUACUCACAACAUCAACUAGAAAGCCCUUUGGAAGAUACCUCCCUUAAAAAAUCUUAGUGUUUUCUCUGAAAGCUCUGUCAUAAUCGACUACCUCUGUGAAAACUAUUUUGCGAUGUCAAGCAGCUUCCAACCCGCUGUACCCUAUCUGCAACCAAGAGGAUGAAAUGAUCGACCACCUCUUCUAAAUGUGUUUCUUCUCCAAAGUAGUUUGGUUCAAAUCUCAAUGGUCCAUCUAAUGCAACCUUAUUGGAUACAUAGAUAUCAAGGCUUAGGUCAAGUACUAGAUUCAAAAGUACCAUAACUUAGAUUUUUUUUCGAAAUCAAUGUAUAAUGGAUGGUUGAUACUACUCUAUUAAAUACGGAAACAUCAAAACUAUGUCUACUUCUCCCAAAAAAUACCUAAUCUCAUUAUCUUCAUUAAAAGUACCCAGCUUUAUAACUAAAAUUAUUACAAUAAAGAAUAAAAAGUAUAUCAAAUUAUUGCAAGAAAUAACAAAAAUUAAAGUGACUUUUUAAUGUUAUUUAACUUUAUAAAAAUUAUUACAUUAUUUGACUUCUUUUGGAAACUUUUUUUUAGCCUAUAAAUGCCCUCCCUAGAUACUAAAUCAAAACAUAUAUAAAUAUAUCUCAUGUAUGUUUUUAUUCAAUAAAACAUUUCAUAAUACUUUUAUUUUAAAAUAUUUAUAAAUAGUCCAACAGUAAUUUUAAAUAAUUAAAAAUAUAUUUAUUUUAAAAUAUUUAUAAAUAGUCCAAUAGUUUUCAGAGUAAACUUUUAAUUUCAUACUAACAUUUUUCUCCAUAUUUUCUCCAUAUUGGUAGAUUAAUUAAAAAAAUUCAGUCUAUUUUUUAACAAAUAUUUGUUGACCAUUGUGUUAUGGAAAUGGAACACAAAGCAGUAGACACAUAUAGUAAUUUUCAAACACAAACUGAACUUUUAAUCCAAAGAUAACACAUAUAGUAACACCUAUGUACAUGUCACAAAACUGAGCUUUAAGCGAUAAAAAAACUACCAAAUCAAUAACAAGAUAGUGUGAGCUUCUUGACAAUUCGCUAGACACGUUUCACAAGUUGGCGAUCUGCAGAGAAAGGGAAACAAAGGGGUAAGCAUAUCGAAUGCUUACUUAGUUCAUAAGCAUUAAACCAAAUAACUUACCUUAGUUUAUAAUUAAACACUACAUGCUACUUAACUUAGUAAAGUUUGCCUAACAUGGCAAAUCAAAUAUUAAAAAGGUGAGUUAACAUUUAACCUCAUCAUAUAACAAUUCAAAUAUGAAAUAAGCCAAAUCACUUAAAAUCACAUUUCAAUACUAUUCUCAAAACCAAUUCGACAUUUAACCAUAUGAACACCAUUCUCAUAAUAUCAUAUCAUUCCAUCUAUUUAUCAACUAUUCAUCCAAUUUCAAUUGAAUGUCAAUCACUAUUUCAUUUCAUUAUUCAAAUUCCAAACCAAAUUCAUUGAUUCAUCACAUUUCCAUAUCGGCACUCUGGGCUUGUAUAACCAAUUCGUAUGAUCUUUUACGUGUUAUCGAUAUCCAUAUAUCACAAUGUGUAAAUAAAUCAUCACAUCAUAAUAUCAAUUAAAUUAAAAUAUCAUUUAUCCAAUUUACAUUUUAUAUCUCUAUUAAAUUGACUUAGACUCAAAUGAAUACACAAAUCCAACCAAUCACACCGGUUUGGCACCCAGUGCCUAUUGGAUAAGUUCGAAAUGGUAAGUGGCGCCCAACGCUAGUUGGUAUAAUCAAUGUAUAGGUGUGCCUAGCACUCCUCGACUCGUAGUCGUAAUAACCUUGAACUCUUCCUAUCCUAUGGCAUGCUAACUAUAUUCGACUCUGCCCGAACAGAUAAUAGGGUAGCAAUUUACUCAAUUUCAUUUAUAAGCCGAUUUCUCAAUUCAAUGUUGCCAUUUCAUCAACCAAUUAUCAAUUUGUAUGCAUAACAUUAUAAUUCAUCUUAACAUAAAGCUAAAUUUUCAAUUACAACAAUAUAAAAUAUAUCUAAAUCUAUUCAAUUUAGUCAUUUAUCUCAAAGAUCAAACAUAAUCAUAUCAAUUUGAUUCAAUUCAACUAAUCAAUCUCAUAUUUCAAUUCAUUAUAUUCAAUUUAUUAAUCAAUUCUUCAUUUCUUUAUGAUUUGGUCCAUAUCUCACCUUUUUGUACCAAACCGUAAAUAAUCAAAAUUUCAAUUAAACAUAUUUACAAUUACAAUUUUAAAUUCGUAAAAAUUUAACACAAACAUACCUUAUGAACUUACCUGGUCAGAAUAGCAACAAAUAAUUCUCUAAGGACUAAUUAGCAACUUUUAUCAUUUCCCCAAUUAUCUUUAAUUUGAUCCAAUUUUCGAUUUAUUCAAUAAUUAAAUUCAAUUUAUCAAUUCCAGCCCUCUUAUUUCAUCCUAUUCUAAGCAAUUAUCAACUAAAUUUCAUUAUUAGAAUGCCCCUAAAAUUGAAAUUAACAAAACUUUCAAAGUUGAGUUUUGAUUUCGAAAUUAAUCUCAAUUUCAUCCUUCUACAGUCCUUUAUUAUCUAUAAUUAUAGAAAUUUCAUGUCAAUUUUGAAAUAUUUAUACUUCUCUAUGUUGAAAAUAAAUAAUUUUAACUUUAGAAAAUAGUCAUUUUUCAUAUCUAUGCUUCAAAUCUAACCAUUUGGUACUAAAAGCUUCAAGAUUCAACAAUGGAAACUUUUGUAAACUUUAAUAAUUUUACAAAUUGAUACAUGAGUUAGCUAAAUCAAGCUCUCACCAACCUUGUAAACAUAAAAAAUUACGAUAAAUGACUUGAUGGAGCAUACCUAAAUUUCGCUGAAAGUUCAAGCUUCCAUAACCCUUUUCCUUUCUUUUGGUUUCGGGGAGAAAAAGAUUAACAUGCAAUGUUUUAUUUUAUUUUAUUUUUAGCUUUUAUACAUAGUUUAGUUUAUAGUAAUUUAUAAUAAAUUUAAUUAAUCCUUAUUUAAUUAAUACUAAUCACCAUUAACCAAUUUGGUGGAUAAUAGUUGUCCACCACCACCGAACAUCCAAUUAAAAGUGACUUAAUUACAUAAUUGGUUUUUUGAUUAAUUAAAAAUUUAUAGUGAUAAACUUUUACCACCUUUACAAUUUAGUUUUUAUACCUUAAUUAGUAAUUAAUUUAGCGAAAUUAUUUAUCCAAAAAUCAAUUCACCUAUAAACGAGGUCUCAAUACCUCAUUUUUCAACACCAUUGACUUUAGGGUCAAUACAGUUGUACCAUAACUAACUAUACAAUAUUUAGGGUGGGUUUGGAUGGGCGAUUGGGUGCGGUGCGUUUAGCUUACUUUUUCUCUCACGCUACAGUAUCCCUAUAGUAUCCAAUCUCACCGCCACCACUGUUUUUACACUAACCGCAGGUAAACGCACUGCCCAUCCAAACUCACCCUUAACAAAUUCAUCAAGCCAAAAUUAAAUACGAUUAUAAUUGACUUGUAAGUAUUAAUUAAUAACAUUUACAGACUUGAUCAUCGAAAAAUGAGAUUCCAAAACUACCGUUUCCAACACCACUAACUUUUAGAUGGUUGCAACUCAUUUCAACAUUUAAAAACUAUUACACUUAUAUUUCACACUUUAUUUACUUAAAAUUAACUUAUUUUUUUUAUAAAACUGUUCCAGUUAUUGUUAAAAAAACUUUACACAAUUAAUUUUCCUUUUAUUAAAAUACAUUUGUUGUUUUAGAAAACUAUCUACCAACCUUUCUAAUUAAUUCCUCAUUACACCAUUUUUAAUAUAAAAUACAAAACCCAAUCUAAUAUAAAAUAUAAUUAAAUACCUAAUUUUAUACUAAAUUGUUUAUAACAUUUCAUCUUACUGAAGUUGAAGUCAAAUAUAUUAUCGAAUCAAUUUAAACAUAACAUCCUUUUAAAUUCGAGUAAACUACUUAAUUUAUCACUUAACAUUUAAGGUGUUUUUAUUUUUAUCAUCUAAAAAAUCCUUUUAUUACCAUUAGAAAAUUUUAUGAUUCUACAUCAAAUUUAAAUAUAUUUUUGGGUGAAAUUUUCUUUAAAUCUAAGUCAAACUUUUGUGCCCACCAAUCAAAAUCCACCUUCAAGAUCUUCCAACCUCCAUUGUCCUCUCCAUGCCCGACACCAUCUUUGCCUCUCCUUGCAUCCCCAGGCCACCGACAUCAGCCUUUGGGGUUCUCUCUCAGAGUUAAACAAGUCAAAGUUUUGGUGUUGCACGUGGCAGAUACAAGUAAAGAAACAAGUCGACCAACUUCAGACAUUCUCUCUCAACUCAAAAAUUGCCUUCGCCAGUUCUUACAUGUUUAAAUACAGAACUCGAACAUUGGCUUCACCAGUUAUUACAUGUUUACAUACUGAAUCAAAGAAUACACUAUUUUGCUUUUUUCUGAGCAAACUGCCAAACACAAGGAGGAUAUAUAACCAUUGCCACUUAUUCCAAAGGGAUAUAUAAAAAAUGUAAUAAACAUAGCAAAGCACAGUUCAAGUAACAAAGAAUUGUGGUUUGAAGUUGGUGGAAACCCGUGGAGCUAAUAUACUUUAGCUCUCUCCACGAUGGAAGCAAACCUGUUGAAGGAGAUGGUGUGUUCUAGUCUUUUUUCUUUGGUUCUUCUAGAACAAAUUCCACAUAGAGAUCUUUCAAAGCAAUCACAACCAUCGUAAUCAACGGUCCCAUAAUUGCUCUUGUGGAAGAAAGGAGACACCCAUUUCGAAGUUCAAAUAAGAUAUGCAUCAAGAAAUACAUGAAAGUUGAUUCCGAAAGAUUAAAAUCACCCAUGCACCCAAGGAAAUGUCACUUAGUUUUGUUUGAUGAAGAGUUUUAAAGACCGAAGAAAUCAACUGUAAAAAGGCUACCUUAACUGCAGAAGGGAACAAUGUCAUUCCACCAAUGAUGCUAAGCCUUGUAAGGUAGGCACAAUACCCAGGUAUGCUUUCCUGGACUUCAGGUAGGCAUUGUAAGGAAAUGUCACUUGGGUGGUGCAAUGGUGCUAGUCCGUGUGAAGAAGGUGGUGGGCAUGGAAAGGACAAUGGAGGUUGGAAGAUGUUGAAGGAGGAUUUUGAUUGGUAGACACAAAAGUUUAACACCAUUUUGAAAAUUUGACCCAAAAAUUUAUUUAAUUAGAGAUUUAAAGUUGAACGACUAAAAUGAUAAAUUUUUCUAUAAACAAUAAUCAAAUUAAAAAGAUUUUUUUCGGGUGACAAAUAAAAAUGUAUUAAAAGUUAGAUACUAACUAAAUAGUUUAUCCUUCAAAAUUUCCAAAUAUUUGGACAAUAAAAUUUAGAGAGGCAAUGAAUGAGACAGAGAUUGAUGGGCUCACCUCAUUUUCGUCAUAAGAAAAAAAUUUGUUAAAUUCCUUUUAUCGAUUAUUCUACUAUGCAUAAGUUGUAAGGUUAGUUUUUAUUUAAUUUUAGAUUUUAGAGUUUUUAAAAAUUAAUAUUUUGGUCUAAUUCUAAUAGAAUGGCUGAAUUUAUUAAUUUAAAUUAUGGUAUUUUCAAAAUUUAAUACGAUAAACAUAUUAUCGCAUGUUUCGUUUCUUAUUAGUUUUUUAUUUUCAUAAAAAUACUAAAAAAAAGUUAAAAAUUUUAAUUAUUGGAUUUAACAACUACCAUUUGAGUCAAGAUUAAAAUUUCAAAAUUAAAAAUAUAUAAAAAUUAAAAAUAAUCAAAUUGGAGAGCAAAGGCUAAAUCCACCAUUUAUGCAUAGUAUGAGACAAAUAGUAGAAUUGGGCCUAAUAGACUUAACUGCUACUAAUUAAAUUAGGGAUAAAUCUAAAAACUGUACAUAAACUAUGGUUUAAUGUGUAAUUGUAUACAUGAAAUUUUGAUUUGAUCAAAUUCUUGUAAAUUGUCAACACAAUUAUUGAUAUAACAUCAUUUUAUGUUUAUAUAUUGCAUACAUAAAUAAUUAUAUUUAUCCAAUAUAAAAAUAAAUUGAUGUAUUUAUUUUUUAAAAUGUGCAUGAUUAAAUCAAAAUUAAAAUUUCAACUAUACAUUUGAACCACAAUCAGAGUUUCAUGGAUAUAAUUGCACCAAAUUAAAAUUUAUGUAUACAAUUACACAUUAAAUCAAAAUUUAUGUAUAAUUUUAAUAUUUAUCUAUUUAAAUUAUAACUAAAGUUUCAAAAUUCAACAAACAAAAUGAAUAAAAUUAACCAAAUUAAAAUACAUAAACUCAAUCAGUAAAUUAAACAGAUUAAUAAUAGAGUUUGACUUUUUUUUUAUCACUACUCCAAUGCAUGUUGUUCUUCACACUUGCAAAAGUUACUGGAACUCUAACCAGAACUUUUCUUUUUCGAAAAGGUUUACUUCAUUGCAUAAUUGAAUGGUUGAAUUUUCUAUUAGUACUUGCACUUUAUGAAAGUUAUGAAUUUAGUCUCUAUAUUUUAAUUUGGUCAGUUUUAGUCUUUGUACUUUUCAAGUUUUAAAAUUUCAAUUAUCACUAAAUGAUAACAGUUAAAUUUUAUUAUUUUCAAAAUCUAAUACAACAAACCUAAUAUCAUAAGUAUAAUGCUAUGUCAGUUUAUUAUUUCCACAUAUUACUUAUUAAAAAUUUAGUUAAUAGAUUAAUGAAUAUCAUUUGUGUCGAGAGCAAAUUUUCAAAUUUUGAAAAGCGUAGACUAAUUAAAAUGAUCUAAUUGAAGAAUAUAGAUUAAAUCUACAAAUGUAUUCAUAGUACAUGACUAAUAAUUGAAUUUAAGCAAACAAAUUUAACUGCUACUGUUUAGGUCAGGACUAAAGUUGACCAAUUUGAAAAACAAAGAGACAAACAAAUCAAAUUAAAGUACAGGAACUAAAUUCGCAACUUUCAUGAAUCUACAAUUUUUUUAUUGUUAAAUUAACAUGAAAAAGAAAGGUAAAAAAAUUCUAAUGCCUUCAAAUUGCUCUUGUAAGUAUAAUUUUCUCUACUUAUAAUUCAAACAAUAAUCCUACUAAUUAUAGACUCUCGACUAAGGAGGUAGUUAGUAUUGUAUUAGUAGAUGUAUUGUUUUUUACUAUGUAUUGGUAUUGUUGUACAGGGUUCUUUUAAAAAUAUAUUUAAUAAUUUCGUAACAAAUAUUUACAAAUAUCAAAAGAAUAUAUUUAUAUAAAUAAAAAAAUAUUUAUAAAUAUGAAAUGAAUAAGAUUAUAUAAAUUUUAAAUAUAAAAUAUUCAUAAUUAUAUAAAAUACUGAUAAAAUAUAAAAAAAAUCAUAAAAUUGAUGUACAAAAUACAAACAGUAAAUUAUCAAUUAUAGUUAAGGGUUUUGCUUAAAUGUUGAGUGUCGAGACUAGGGAUUUAAAUUGCGGUCGCGGCCGCAUUUUCGGUCGUAUUGCGUUUAUCACGGUUGUGGACAUAACAGAUUCUAUUGCGGUCAUUGCGGUCGUGAACUUUAAAAAAAAAUUCACAAAACUUAUUGUAAAAUAUAAUAGCGAUUUCGGCAGUAGCGAUUUCGGGCGGUGCCACUACCGCUAUAUAACUGCCGCUAUUUCGGUAACGAACUGUUAUUUAAAUCUCUGGUCGAGACUUUAUUCAAAAGUUAUCAAUUACUGUUUAUCAAUUAAUAUUUGUCAUUUAUUAUUUAUUAUUACUUUAUUCAAAAGGUAAUAAAACUUUCAAAUUUCAGCCUAAAAAGGUUGUUUGGGGCUUUACAUCAAUUCUUGUCUGUAUAGCCAAAAUUAGUUAAUAUUGUUGGUAUAAACCGAUGAAUUUAUUUCAAGGUUUAAAAGUGUAAAAUUUUUUUAAAAAAUAUUUUCUUUAUACUUACUUUUAAAUUGCAUAUAAAAGUUGUUAAACUUAAAAAAAAAAUUAAGUCUCUAUUUCUUUUGUUACACUCAAUUGAGUACUUGAAUUGCCAAAAUAUAUUAAAAAAAACCUUUGAUCGUUAACUUUAACAAUUGAUCGUUAAAGUUACCGCCUUUAUUUUUUGUUGAAGCCACCAUGAGCCAUAACAAUGGCGUGACAUGUGACAAAAAUAAUAAAAAAUAAAAAUCAAUAGAAAUUAUAAAAAUGUAAUAAAAAUAUAUACAAAUUAGAAAAAAUAUAAAACUCGUAAAAAAUUAUAGAAAAUUUUAAAUUUUUAUAAAAAUAGUAAAAAAUUAUAAAAUUUUAUAAAGUCGUAAGAAAAUUAAAAAAAUAUAAUUUUUUUAUAAAAAAUUAUAAAGUUAUCGUACCUAAAGAAGUAUUUUAUAAUUUUUUUUAUAAAAUUUAUUGAUUUUUAUUUUUAUAAUUUUUCACCACAUGUCAUGCUGUGUAGUGAAACGUGAUGGCUUUAACUUAAAAAACUAGGGGUCAUUAACUUUAACGGUAAUGGUUAAAGGGUGUCUUUGAUGUAUUUUAUAAAUUUUUUAUGACUUUUAUAAAAUUUUACAAUUAUUAUUUUUAUGGUUUUUAUAAAAUUUUUAGUUUUUAAUAAAAUUUAAGAAUUUUAUAUUUUUAUUAAUAUUUAAUAAUUUUUAUAACUUAUUUUUUGAAAAAGUUUCAGGACCUUUUUUAUACAUUUUGAAAGUUCAAAUACCCAGUUGAGUGCAAAAAAAAAAGGGGGAUUAAUGGCUUUUGAAAAAGUUUGAGAGACUUUUUUUUAUGCAUUUUGAAAGUUUAAUUACUUAAUUAAUUGCAAAAACAAAAGUAAGGGCUUAAUUGUUUUUUUUGUAUGUUUGUGAGUUUUUUACACCCUUAAGCCUUAUUUAAACAUAAAAUUUUAUUUUAGUAAAGGGGUUGUUCUCAAUUUCAAGGUUGAUUAAAUUGGUUUCGUUUUAAAAAAUAGGAAAAAAUUAAUUCAUGUUAAUUUUGAAAGUAAAAGUAAGUAAUUAAAUACAAUCACAAUAUUUACAUGUUUUGGUAGUUUAAUUUAAAUUCUAAAAAAAAAACAUCAAUAUUUACACACUUACAUAAAUGUUGUAGUUAAAGUUAUUCGGUUUUUAUCAAAUUGAUAGAAUGUAUAAAUUUAAGGGUUAAAUUUUACAUUAUUUCAAUAAAAAUUAUGAAUAAUUAAAAAUAAUUUUUUUUACUAGAUAGUCAAUUCUUGAAGAAACUAAUUAAGCAAACAACUAUUAUAAGAAAUUAUACUUGGGAUAAAAGGGAAAAUCAACAAAAGAAAUAGAUAUUUAAAUCUAACAAAGAUAUAUAUGAAAAACAAUAACAAUAUCGGUAACUCCAAAGUUUUCUUCAUUGGAUGUAUCUUUAAUAUAUAAGAACAGAAAAACAACCAUUUUCACUCAAAUACCAUUUCUUCUAUACACACUCUUUUCCCAAGCUUAGAAAAACUCGCUUUUCAUACAAUCACCCUCUAUAGAAAAAGAACAAAAAAAGGUUAAAUCCCUCAAAAAAAAAAAAAGAAGAAAAACCCUCCUUGGAAUGACAAAAACUCAUCCCGUUUAAUGUUUAUAUACAAUCAUCAGCAGAUACCAGAUGAGAAACUUCAAAAACUCAGCAUCCACUUGUGAUCCAUGGAUGUCCUGUAAAUAAAUAAAUAAAUAAAUAAAUAUUGGGUUUUUUUUUAAAAGUAAUAAAAAUAAAAAUUAAUAUUAAAAUUGGCUUACUUAGAACUUGUUCAGCGGACAAUCUUCUAGAAACAUCUUUACAGAGCAUUUUUCUCAACAGAUCCUUGGCUGCCGGCGAAACCGAUUGGAAAACCCUAACGGGGAAUCUCAAAUUUCCCCUCAAAACCGCCUCGAAAAUCUCCACCACCGUUUCCCCGUGAAACGGCGGAAAUCCUGCCAACAUUAUGUACAAUACGACACCACUACUCCAAACGUCAACUUUCUCCCCGUAUUCCCUCCCGCCCAAAAUCUCCGGAGCCACGUAAAACGGGGUUCCCACCACACCUCUCAUUACUUCCGGUGCCACGUCAGCGGAACCGAAAUCCGUUAGCUUAACGGAAU
rnacentral:lncRNA from 1 species